rnacentral:lncRNA from 1 species
UUUAGUUUAGGUAUGUUGGUUGAUAUCAACGAGUUAGUUUUAACUGAAUAGAAAAAGUAAAAUAUUUUGAUUUUUUCUAUUCAAUCAAAUAAUAAAUACCACCUAAGACUUUAACCAGUCCAUUUCCACUUACAACCCCAUGUCAAGAUCAAAGGUCACAAAUAAUCAAAAUUUUCCCAUUUCAUGUUCACUAAUCUAAAAUUAUAAAAGAAGAGAAAAUGUUAAAAAUAUCAUUUAAGAAAAAACAAAAACAAAAUAAAAGUGGAAGAGCUUGAGAAAAGUGUAUUUCAAAUAAUUUGGCUUUCUUAUAAUCAAAUAAGAAAAAAAAAUUAUAUAAUUUUUUUCUUCAUUUUUCUUAUUUAUUUUAUAGCUUAUACUACUCUUUACCUUUUAACUGCAUUCAAAUUAUUAAUUAGGAAGGUUUGAACUUUUACAUCAAAAGAACCUAGAAAAUGCCAUGAGGCAUAUAUUGAAACUACAUCGACUCAUUUGAUUUAUUUAUCUAUAUUAUUUAAAUAUGUUGUCAUCUUAAUAUAAGAAGUUAAAACUUAGACAAUUCUAUGAAAGAAGCCAAAGAGUAAGUGGAAACAGGAAAUAGCAGCUUCUUUGGAGGAAAAAGAAAAACAACAUGAUUGGAAUGCAUCUUGUGUACAAUGCUAAUGCACUAAUACAAUAUUUAAAAAAUAAUAAUAAUGGGUAGAAUAAGACACCUCUAAGGCUAUUAGGUUUGCUAUAAAAUAUGCACUAAUAGUACAACACAAAUGUAGGACAAAUACUCUUCUUUACUAUGUAAGAUAUUUUCAAUUUAUUACAAUUAGUGGUACUUUUAUGUAACGUUUAUUUUGGUUGUUAUCUUGUGAAAUAAAAUUAUUUGAAAAUUGCAUUAAGGAACAUCUACUUUUCCAUAGGUAAACGGAAGUGAAUAAUUCAAUUUAUGGUUAACCUCACGUAGAGAAGAUUGUAAUUGGUGAGGAUAAGUUAGUACAAUACAAGGGUGGAAAAGAAAAGGGAUAUAUAUUGUUCGGGGGAUAUUAUAUAAUGAUUUUGUUUCAAAUGCAUGUUUUUGUCAUUGUCCAACUAUUGAAGUACAAAAGGAUCAGACGCAAGUAUGCAUUCGUUGUGAUCAUCACUAUGAUGUUAUCUCAUAGUGAUGAUUAUGUUUGUAUUUAUGUACUUCAAUAUGUUCAACAAUUAGAGGACGAAGGAGGUAUGAUCAAUGUGCAAAUUUGAAAUUGGUAAGUCAUGCACACCUUAUAAGUUGUCAUUGAUUCCAUGCUACAUGCCUCACAUUUUCAUGAUUUUAGUGUGCUAAAUUGUUAAUGCUUUUGGGGCAACAAAAACUAUUAAAGUUCACACCUUUAACAAUGCGCAUAAUCAUUACGCAAAUGAUGAAUAUUCAUCUCAACUUUCAAUGCAGUCAAACAAAGGUGCUCUUGUCAUAGAACAAGUCAUAAGGUUAACUCCUUAGUAUUUGUCAUAUCAAAUUUACAAAGAUUUCUUUAAAUGAUAUGGUGUUUCAUUGUGUUAUAAGCAAGAUUAGAAAUAAAAAGAAAUAGCAAAGGAAAGAAUAUAUGACCUUCUAUAGAAUUCAUAUAAAUUAUUGUCUUGGUUAUGUAAGUGAUUAGUACACAUUAAUCUUAGCAAAAUUGCAGAAUGUAUGCAAAUAAUUGAUUUUUUUUUUUUUUUUUUUUUUUUUUUUGCAAUAGUUCGAUAGUGAUUCUUUUCUAGUGCAAGAUUUCUUAAUGGGUUAUCAACUUGUCAUUGCAAUUGACUCAACCAAUUUAAGUGGACCAUAUAGAGACUCUUUAUUCUUUAUGCCAACAUAUGGUGUUGAUGAUGAUUUGUUCCCAAUUGCAUUUAGUGUUAUCAAUUCAAAAAAAUUAUGAAUAUUGGUUAGGAUUUUUAUAGAAAUUAAAAGACAUACCUUAUAAUAAAGAGGUAAUCACAGUAUUUGAUAGGCAACAAGUGAUUCUUUGUAAUGUUCCUAAAUUUUUAGGGUUGAAAAUCAUGCAUUUUGCUAGCAUCAUGUAAAGAAAAAUUUUAACAACUACGUGACCAAAUACAGUAUAAAGGGCAGAAGAGCUAAAGAGGAUAAUAUGUUAUUACUUGACAAUGUCGCCUUUGGAUGAUAAUUAUGUUGUUGUUAUAGAAAAAUUGUAGACAUAUAAUAGUAACUUAGCAAAGUGGGUUGAAGGUAACAAUCUACAACAUUAGACAAUGUCAAAGUUUCCUUAAAAAACAUAAGGGUAAUAUGAUAACUAAUCUUAUCGAAUCAUUAAGGCUAUGUUUGGAUCCUAGAAAAUUUGAGGGAAAAUGUGAGGGAAAGAAAAAAGAAAGAAAAAGUGAAAGAAAAUGAAAAAUAAGUUUAAACUCAAUAAAUUUUGGAUGUAAUCACAUUUUGUUUUUAAAUUAAUUUGACAAUCUAAAAAAGAUUGGAUAUAAGUCUCGUGGAUUUUAUUACAACAUAUUUAAAUGGAUUCAUAGAUAAUGAUAUAUCCAUGAAAAUUCCUAAAUGAUUUAAAUUUCCUAAAACAAAUAGUACAAAAUCUCAUAACAUGUACUUAAUCAAGUCAAAAUAAUCCUUGUAUGGAUUAAAGUAAUUCGAAUGCAUGUUAUAUAAUUGUCUUAACAAAUACUUGCUAAAAGAAGAAUAUGUAAAUAACUCUAUUGUCUAUACAUUUUUGUUAAGAAAUCAUAAACUAGAUUUGCAAUUAUUAUAGUAUAUGUUGAUAACUUAAAUCUUAUUGGGACUCCUAAAAAGCUCACAAAAACAACAAAUUAUUUGAAAAAUGAAUUUGAGAUGAAAAAUCUUAAAAGAAAAUAAGAUUUUGUCUUGACCUGCAAAUUGAACAUUUUCCAAAUAGAUUUUUAAUACAUCAAUCAACAUACAUUAAGAAAAAUUUGAAGCAUUUUUAUAUGAAUAAAACACAUCCCUUAAGUUCUCCAAUAGUUGUCCAAUCACUUGAAGUGCAAAAUGACUUUUUUCGCCCUUGUAAAAAAAAUGAAGAAUUACUUAUUUCUAAAGUAUCAUAUCUUAGUAUUAUUGAUGCACUUAUAUAUCUUGCUAAUUAUAUACUAUUCCCAUACAUUGUUUUUCCUAUUAAUUUAUUAGCAACAUACAAUUACACUACAAAUUGAAGAUAUCGGAAUAGUAUCAAACAUAUAUUGCACUGUCUUCGUGAAACUACUGAUAUGAGUGUAUUUUAUUUAAAAGAAUCAAAGUUACAAUUACUUGGAUAUACAAAUAUAGGAUACUUUUCCAACCCACAUAAAGUUAAGUCACAAAUAGACAGUGUGUUUAAUUGUGAUAAUACCGUUAUUUCAUAAAGAUUUGUCAAAAAAACAAUGAUGACUACCUCUUCAAGUCAUUUAGACGUACUUACAAUUCAUUAAGCAAGUCAUAAAUGUAUAUGACUAAAAUAUAUGAUAUAACAUAUUAGAGAAUCAUGUGGACUCUUUUGUAUUAAAGACAACCCUAUGAUAUUAUAUGAAUGCAUGCAUUACACAUAUAAGAGGGGUUGUAUUAAAGGAAAUAAAACCAAACACAUUUUACCAAAAUUCUUUUAUACUCAUGAACUCUAAAAGUGUGGUGAAAUGGAUAUUCGGUAAAUAUAUUCAAAUGAUAAUCUAGCAAAUUUAUUCAUAAAGUCAUUAUCAACCUUAACAUUUAAAAGAUUAACACGUAAGAUGAGAAUGCACCAACUCAAGAAUAUCAACACAAGGGAGAGUAUGUUUAUGAAAUAAUAUUAGUGUACUAUACUUUUUUUUUCCUUUAUUCAAGUUUUGUCUCAUUGGAUUUGAUUGAUAAGGUUUUUAAUAAGACAGUCCUAACAAACCAAAAGCAUAAUGUAUAUUUUUUUCUUUAUUAAAUUUUUCUCAUUGGAUUUUUUUAUUAACAGGGUUUUAAUAAGACAUUCUUUUAAUGUGGUGAACAUCAACAAGGAGCGUUGUAAAUGGAGUGAUGAAUGACCCCAGCAUUAACUAAGAGUUAGAUUAAAGUUUAUUUAUAAAAGAUGAGUAAAUGGAAGUCAUUUAUAUCAAAUAUAUAAAAAGUUCCGCAUACUUCAUAUUGGUCACACCUCGAGUAAGAAGUUCUCUCAUUCUUUCUAUAAUUUCUUCUUCUCCCUUGUACAUUUAUAACGGUAUUAUAUAUAUUUCUUUAUAUUCUUCUUCCCGACUUACAAUAUGUUUAUUAUCAUUUUAUAACAUAUUUAAUGUUUUUCUAUAAAUAUUUUAAAUAGAUAUUUCUAAAAAAUAAAGGAAAAAAAAGGGAGAAUUAUGUUUUGGGGUAGAUGGGCCCCCAAAUUAACAAAAGGUCCAUGUAACUUUUCAAAUUGAGUUGAAGGAUAUGAAAUAGUAACGGACAAAUAUACCCUUUAAGAACACAUAUAAAAUAUUUUAUAAAAUUAAGUUAAAUAAUUUUUUUUUUCAAAAAUACUAAAUUAAAUAAAAGUAGUUUUCAAAAAUAUUAAAUUAAAUUAAAGUAUUUAAAAAAAAUAUUAAAUUAAAUAUUUUUUAAAUAUUAAAUUAAAUAAAUUUUAAAUAUUAAAUUAAAUAAAUUUAUUUUUUUAAAAAUAUUAAAUUAAAUAAAAGUAUUUAAAAAAAAUAUUAAAUUAAAUAAAAGUAUUUUAAAAAAUAUUAAAUUAAAUAAAAGUAUUUUAAAAAAUAUUAAAUUACAUAAAAAUAUUUUAAAAAAAUAUUAAAUUAAAUAAAAGUAUAUUUCAAAAAUAUUAAUUUUUUUUCUCAAAAUCAAUAAAGGGCAUUUUUGGAAAUACUGAAAGAUGAUAUCCUUCAACUCAAUUUCCAUAUUUUCAUUGGGUCUUGGGCUCAAUUUGAAGAACCUUUUGUUAAUUUGGAAACUCAUCUAUCCCCAAAACAUAAUUCUCCCGAAAAAAAAGCCUCUAAAAUCAUAUUAUUGAACGUGUGUAAUUUUUGUUUAUGAAAAUCGGAAUUUUUGCAAUUUCCCGCAUGCGCCGUUAAUCAGACCCCUGUCACGUGCCGUUCUCGCUCUUCAAUCUCUCUCGGAGCUGGGGUUUCGGACUUCACCAUCGACAAUGAAGAGAAGAAUUUUCCAAACCAGUUCUACAGCACCAUUGCACAUCCCCACCGGUCUUCAGGGACCUCAAGGUUUCUUCCUAAUUUCACAAUUAACCUUCUAUUAAUUUAUUAGUUUUUUUUUUUUUUUUUUUAAGUUUUCAAUUAUUUUCGGAGAUCGCAUUGCUUCGAAUUAUAUUAUUUGGUGAUUUAUCGAACCAAUUCACGGCAGAUUUUCUGAAAUUUCUUAGUUUUACAUAUCUUUCGAUGCUUAAUCGUUUGAUAUUAGCGAGUAGUGUAGCAUGUCUUGUUUUGGUUCGCAUUUGAUCUGGUUUGCAGUUUCAAUUUGAGGAUAUUGUUCUACAAAAUUGCAGUUAAAUAAAUAUAGUUGAAUUUGGAUCUGAAUUUAUGUACAUUUGGAUAGGUAAUUCCGCCAAAAAAAAACCUGAAAAUUUUCUAUUAGAAGGGAAAAUUGGCUAGCCAGUAACUAUUGGAAAAAAAUAAAAUCUGUGAAAUUGGACGAAGCCGAGGGAGAUUUGAAUUAUUUUUAAAAAUUUGGAUAACCACUCCAAACUACCAUUCUCAACAAUACCGGUAUGUAAUUCCCCAUUCCCCAUUCAUUCAAUAAUCAUGAAACUAUCAUCAGGGAUAGGACAAUUGGAAAAAUGGACAAGUUCAACAUGCUGAGCAUUUCUUACUAUUAACAUUUCUCCUAAACUUUCUAGACGUUCGGUACCUCACCUGUGCAUUUUGCGCGUGGCCAACUCUUAGUUGUUGUUUGUUUUUUUUAACUUUUUGCUCAAAGCAAUUUGCUUUCAGAUUUCAAAUAAUUUGUUUUCACUUUUUGUUGACUUAUGACUUAUUUCUUAAAUUUUUUGACUGAAUAGGAAAAGCUAAAAUAUUUUACAUUUUUUGAAUACUAAAAGUGAACUACCAUAACUAAAGUGAACCUAUUGGUUUUUUUUUUACUUUCUUAUUGCUUCAUAGAAAUAAAAUAUUAAAGCAAACCAAUAACUUAAUAUUUAACACUAUUUAGUCUUAAGUUUUAUUUAGAAUUAACUCAAAAAAACAAACGCCACCUUAGUGAGGUUCAAGUCAAAUGGUCCUUGGCAAAUGUGGGUAGUUUAGAUAAUUGAUUUUUUUUUUUUUUUUCAAAAUUACUUGCCUGGUGAAUGAGUGAUUUUGUGGUAUUGAAUGCUUGUCUGGAAUCUGGAUGCUUGCUCCAUGGGUUUUGGUAUGGCACUUGUGAGGACUUUAUCCUCAAUAAUCCCAUCAUUCAUUGGUAGAAACUGAAGCAUUCAUGCAUCUUUGAUCAGCUGACUUGUGGCUUCAUUUGGGAUAGCUUCUUACUUGUGCUUCUAUUUCUAAUAAAAGCACAAACAUAAGCCUUGAUUUUUAUUUGGCUUAUUAGUUGAUGUUUGGGAUUAUAUUUUAAAAGAUUUUUUUAGUGCUAAUUUUUUUUUAUUUGUCUGGUUGGCAAAAACAUUCCUUAAAUCUCCUAUUGCUUUGUAAUGACCAUUUUAUCCUCUGAAGAACAUUUUCUUCACCGAUUUGAAUACAUAUAAAAUAUUUAAAUUUCAUUUUAUACCUAAUAAAUAUUUAUCCAAUAAUAAAUUCAUCACACCCAAAAUUCCCAUAUUCAUAUUUUAUAAUUUAACUAUAAUAAAUAAUCAUAGAAAAUAGAUUAAAUAUUACAAACUAUAUUAGUUUUUAAACCAGCAUAGAUAAAUAACAAUUAAUAUGAAAUAAGUUUUUUCAAAAAGUAUAGAUAGAAAAAAAAUAGAAUCGAUAUUAUCUCAUGUCAGAAUAUUUAUCCAACCAUAAAUGAAUUAAAAGAGGAUAUAUUUGGAAUUUUAAUUUUUCCUUUAAAAAUAAAGGGGCAAAAGUGGUAGUAUAAAAGUUUCAUUAAAGUCUAUAGAGCUUCUUGCAUAAAUCAAAAAACGUCUUCUAAAAGAAGCUACCUUAUCCUUUCUUUUAUUUUAAACUAUUUUAAAAUUCAUAACACUAUGAUCAUAACUUCAACAUUACUAAGAGCUCGUUUGGGAUAUCAUCCUGUUUUUUGCCUUAGUUGGAAGUUGAAGCUUAAACCAAAAUCAUAAAUUUUAAAGCUCAAUAUUUGUAUUGUAAAAGUUUUAUUAAAAAUGAAAGAACUACUUGCAUGAGCUAAAAUAAAGUUUCUUCAAGAAGUAAUAUUUGUAUGACGUCCAUAUUGAGCUCUUUUAUAAGUCAUAAACUCUUUGAACAAAAUUACUCAAAUAGACACCAAAGCUCUUAUUAAACUUUUAAAAAAGCUUUUGGCUUCUCAUAAGUCAACCCAAACGGGGCCUAAAACAUUCAUAUUUGGCUUAAAAAAUUCUCAAAAGUCAAUCCAAAUUGGGCAUGUCUCUUACAAUGAAGUAUGGACCAAACACAACACACAACCACAAUACUUUGAUACACUUAUGACAUGAGAAAUCUUGAAAAAGUGGGAUGCUGAUAUGGCAAAGACAAUGAUCUACAAAGAUGUGUUUCUUCUGUAAUUGCAUUACAAAUAAUAUGUACAUAAGUUUAAUUGAUGUAAAUUUUUAUACCACAAUAUAUACCCCGGAAGAAGCUCCAAAACAUAACUUUUUUUUUAGAUGUAUUGGUAAUUUUCUGCUACUUGUUUCAUAGUUUUUCCUUGAAAUUCUUGUUCUUUUUCUAUAUUAUAGCUAUAUACUUGUGUCUUGAUGCCUCCAAGGCAUGUAUCUAGUCAUGGGAAAAAAUUAUGAUGAAGUUCUGGGCACAUCUGGGAAAUGUUUGAGUUCUGUCUGGGACUGUAAUAUCCAACACUGUCCCUGAUGUGGAUACAGUUCCACUUUGGAAGUUUUCUUGGUAUGAAAUAUCACAAGUCUGGAAGAGUUAUUUGUUUCUUUGUUUUUUUUUCUCCCCUGAUAGGCAGGGUCUGUAGGAAAUAAUUCGUGCAAAUGACUUGUGGCCUCUAUUGCCAUAAUCAAGACGAAUCUUUCUUUUCUUCCCAACAAAGGAGCUGUGCCAACUAAGUAUGGUUUCCUUGAUAGAGUAGGCCAUAACCCACUGAACACCAAAAAGAUAAAAAAUAAGCUGCCAAAUCAUGGCUGCCUUGGGACAGUGAAGAAACAAAUGAUUUGUUGAUUCCUCUUCUGAUUUACACAAAAAACACCUGUUUGGUAAAAAUCAACCCCUCCUUUUGAGUUGAUCCAUAGUUAGGAUUCUCCCCUAAAUAGCUUCCUAAGCAAAGAAAGCUAACCCUCUUUAGUACCCCAGGGUUCCAAACUAUGCUUGAAGGGAACUCUCUAGCGUUGCAAGGAACUAGGGAGUAAAAGGACUUAACAGUAAAGAGGUCUUUCUUUGAAACCCACCAAGACAUGACAUCCUCAUCGUCCCUUCUAAGCACCUGUUCGUGUAACCCUUUGAAAAAAGCUUUCAGCUCUCUCAUUUCCCAAUCCUUGUUAAGUCUUGUGAAUACAGGGUUCCAGUGACCCACUUCCCUUGUCUGUUCCCACAACUGAGCUACCAAGCAUCUUUAGAGGAGGCAAAAGAGUACAAGCUUGGAAAAGCCUCUUCCAAGGAAUCCUUUCCACACCACCUAUCCUUCCAGAACCACACUCUUCCACCAUUCCCCACCUUUUUUUUUAUUUUUUUUUUAUAAGUAAAUAAAGGGCUUGCAUUAGAAGUGCCAAAAGACGAAGAAAAAAGUACACACAAAGUAUACAAACAACGCCUGAAAAAAAAUUAAGUAGUGAGGAGACAAAAAAAAAGGGUCAUCCCCUUACUUGACAAACAACCAAUCUAUGAAAUUACUCAAGGACAAAGUGUGAUCCUAUAUGUACACUCUAGCCCAAUUCACAAAAGUAUACAAGAAAAGAGAUUUAAUUGCUUGGUCGGACCACUUGACAUCGUUGAAAGCUCUUCCAUUCCUUUUCUUCCAUAAGGUCCACAUUAAACACAAGGGGGCAGCCCUCCAUGCCUUCUCCCUUUUUUUACCCACAAAAGAGUCGUGUCAUCCUAGCAAAUUCCUUCUAACUGAAGAAUGCAAAACCCACUGCACACUAAAAAGGGAAAAAAAUCAAAAUUCACAACAUUCUAGCCUUGCCACAAAACAAGAGUAGGUGGUUGGUAGUUUCCUCCUCUUCUUUGCACAAGUAGCACCUAUUCAAGAUAUUCCAACCCCUUUUUUCAGCUGGUCUAUGGUCGGAAUUCUGCUCCAAGACGCCUCCCAAGCAAAAAAAACUCACCCUCACAGGACCCUAGGACUUCCAAAUGAUACUCCAUAGGAAUGGUUUUCUAAAAGCCCUCGUGUAGAAGCAGUAAAGGGACUUAACUCAGAAUUUGUCGUUCUUAUUAUCUCUCCAGCUCAUAAUUUCUUCCACUUCUCUUCUCACAACCAAGGGUUGUAGUUUGUGAAACAAAGCCUCCACCAUCCCUAACUCCUAAUCGUUAAGAUGUCUUGAAGAGCGGGGGCUCCAGCUACCCAAAUCCCCACCCUCCUCCCAAGCUUCUAACACCCAACCAUCUUUGUUAACUGUCAAACAAAAGAAGUUAGGGAAAGCUUCUUUCAAGAUUAACUGAGAAUUUGUUGCUCUUAUUAUCUCUCCAGCUCAUGACGUCAUCCACUUCUCUUCUCACAACCAAGGGUUGUAGUUUGCGAAACAAAGCCUCUGCCUCCCCCAACUCCCAAUUGUUAAGAUGUCUUGAAAAGAAGGGACUCCAACUACCCAAAUCCCCACCCUCCUCCCAAGCUUCUGACACCAACCAUCUUUGUUAACUGCCAAACGAAAUAAGUUAGGGAAAGCUUCUUUCAAGGUUAACAGAGAAUUUGCCAUUCUUAUUAUCUCUCUAGCUCAUAAGGUCCUCCACUUCUUUUCUCACAACCAAGAGUUGUAGUUUGCGAAACAAAGCCUCCUCCUCCCCUAACUCCCAAUCGUUAAGAUGUCUUGAAAAGCAUGGACUCCAACUACCCAAAUCCUCACCCUCCUCCCAAGCUUCUGACACCCAAUCAUCUUUGUUAACUGCCAAAUGAAAUAAGCUAAGGAAAGCUUCUUUCAAGGUUAGUUCCUCACACCGUAAAUCUUUGCAAAACUUAACCCUUCUCUCAUUCCCUACCAUGAAGUGGAAUCUACAUCUUAAUUGCUUCCAUUUAUUUCUAAUAGCUUUUCACACCCCCACACCAUAACCUUCUCUUCUCUCAAACACCACCCCCCAUCCUCUACUCCAUACUUCCCAAUGAUAAUUUGUUUCCAAAGAGACUCCCCUUUUGUUGCAAAUCUCCAACUUCACUUUCCGAGCAAGGCUUUGUUUAGGACCACAAAACUGCGGAUUCCUAGGCCACCCUCCUUCUUAUCCGCACAAACUAAAUUCCAAUUCACCAAAUGGGGUCUUUUUCCAAGGGCACCACCUCCCUAUAAAAAAUCCCUUUGAAUCUUUUUUAGUCUAGCACACACCUUUCUAAGAAUAACGAGAAGGGACAUGAAGUAGAUCGGAAGACUUGACAGGGUACUUUUGAUCAAUGUAAGCCUCCCACCCUUAGAGAGGUAUUCCCUACCUUAAAAGCCUCCCUUUUGCUAAACUCCAUUAACCCAUUCCUAAUCACCUUCCAAAUCCCACUCCAUAACCUUCCCUUGAGGCACGAGAACACCAUUCUCCCUCUUCCUCUCCAUAUUUCCCUAUAAUCACUUGUUUCCAUAAUGUCAACAAAUCUCCAACACCAUUUUUCAAGAAGAGCCUGAAUUAACAUAGAAAGAUUUAUGAUACCUAAGCGCCCAUCCUUUUUCUCCAUGCAAACAAUAGACUAAUUCACCAAAUGCAGCCUAAUUUGGGACUCUCCUCCCCCUAAAGGAGAUCUCUUUGAAUCUUUUCCAAACUUAAGCUCACCUUGCAAGGGAUGGCAAACAAGGACAUAUAGUAGAUUGGGAGGUUAGAGAGAAUGCUCUUUACCAAAGUCAAUCUCCCUCCUUAUGACAAGUACUAUCUCUUCUACAAAGCGAGCCGUUUCUAAAAUCUCUUCUCCAUUGCACGCCAAACACGAGGGGAUUUGAAAGUGACUCUUAAAGGAAGGCUAACAAGAUAGGAGAGAGCCCACUUUGCAACCUAGCCAAAUCCUCAAAAUUAGGAACCACCCCACUGGAAUCAACUCGCUUUUGUCUAAGUUGAUUUUUACGAACACUGCUUCAAACCACAUGAAUGCCCAACUCAAGACCUCCACAUGCUCCUUACUUACACCAUAAAAAAACUAGGGGUAUCAUCAGCAAAUAAAAGAUGAGACACUACCAGGCUAUCACCUCCUCUUUCACUAGCUAGGAAACCCUCUAGAAACCCUCCUUGUAAAGCUCUCUUCAAUAUACAAGAAAGCGCCUCCAUUGCCAAAACGAAGAGGAAAGGAGAAAGAGGAUUUCCCUAUCUUAGGCCUCUAGAACUUUGGAAAAAUCCUAUUGGGGAACCAUUAAACAAAAUCGAGAAACGAGUUGAAGAAAUACACCACCUCAUCCAACUUACCCACUUAGCCCCAAACCCCAUCUUUUACAUAUAUACAUACAUAUAUAUGUGUGUGUGUGGGUGAUUAGAAGAAUGAACAUGCCAUAAAUGAUGAAGUUCUUGGAUUUGAUACUACUCAAUAGUUAAUAAUGAACCUUGUGUUGAGCUUCAUGCUUGGCUCCAUUUCUUCCACAUGGACAUCUGGACUUGUCUUUUUAUUUUAUUUUAAUUAUUAUGUUGCCUUCUGUCUCAAAGAUAUUAGCAGGGUGAAAAGAGGGAAGUUCAUGGAUCGGGAAAAUGCUCAUCCUCCAAGUUGCAGAGCAGAUGCAGAUGCAUCUUCUAUACCUAUUGGAGGAACCCAGGGUACAAGAUGUAAGUGCUAUUUAUUCUUGCACUUAGCUUUAGUUUUCUGGAGCAGGGUAAAGUACCUUUGGCUUAUGCUUCUCUGGCUUAUUCUUUCUAAUAUUUGCACUUUUUCAUUUGUCUUUAAAUUAUUUUAAUAUUGUGUUAUAUUAUAAUCCUGAAUGAUGCAAGGUCAUCAGUAUGUAGUACCAUUAGGCAAAAUGUUAUUCUUCUGAUGCAAAGGUAAAAUGCAGGUGAUGAUCCAAAAACUUCUGAGUAUGCAUACUUUAAGAAAUUGAAGAAAGAUGCAAGCAAAAGUUUCUGUCCACUGCCUGAAGAGGAUGAUCAAUUGAAGAAAUUCAAAUCAAUUAACUGUAGUAGAGGUAGGGUCAAGCAGUAAUGCUUCUUCGUUGUUGUGUAGGCGUUACGCCAUAAUGCUUCUUGAUUGUUAUGUCGGUAUUGAGCAGUACUGUUUAUUAAUUUUUAUGUAGGUAGGUAUUGGGUGGUACUGGUUCUUAAUUGUUAUGUGGGUGUUACCAAAAUUUCUCAUAGUUGCUGAAGUUUUUAUUUAGUACAUGUCACAUGAUCCAAUUUGGAAUCAUUAAGACUAACAUUUUACUUUUAUAACAUGCAGAGACAAAGAACAUGGUAAAAGACAGCAGUAAGGACCUCAAGUCCUCAUUGCACAUUAAACAAUUUACACCUGUUAACUUCAAUUCAUUCCUCUCACCACAUGGAGGUGCAUCAAAGAAUUCAGGUAUGCACUGUAUUAGGGCAUUUAAGAAUAUUCUGAACACUACACUUGUCAUUAAAUGGCUCAAUUCAUUCCUCUCACCAUUUGGGGGUGCUUCAAAGAACUCAGGUGUGCACUGUACUGGGUCAUGUAAGAAUAUUUUGAACACUGCUCUUUUGAUUAGAUGGCUCUUUCUCACACACACACACGCACAAAAGAGAUGCCUAUUAUUAAAGAAAAAGGAAGGGGAUAUGUAAAAGAAACAAUAGUAGCUAUUUUUUAUGCCAUGUUACAUGCAUCUUCCCUAUAAUUAAAUAAAUUUUCUUCCCUCUAAUAUAUUCUGAGUCUUUUUCUAUCUUAUUUUUAUCAUGAAAAUUUUUAAUCGUGUACCAAUAACCAAAUGAAGGGUGCUCAUUACACAUGUCUAGAUGCAUUGUAUGAUUGUAAAAUUGGCAACAACAUGGCAGAUAUAAGUUCAAUUUUACCAUCCUGAGACCUUGUUUAAUCACAUGUUGGCUGGUGUUGCUAAGUCGAACAAAUCUCUUCCGAUGCUUAACAAGAGGUACAAAGUGUUGAUGUCAUCUUCUGUUUAGGUUUUUUCAGUUAAGUUUGCCAUGACAAUUGAUUUUUCUGUUGCACAUACAAUAUGACACUUGUGUGAGGCAACCAUCUUCUUUGUUUCUCUUGUACAUCUGUUUUCAUAUAAAAUUUGUGGUCCCCUCUUGGUCAUCUCCCAAUAACUAUGAAUAAGUGAAUCUAUUCCCCACUUAGCUAUCAGCAUGUCAGACAUGGUGAGAUAUACAUGUCAACUAACGUCCAGCACAUAUUUCUUGUUUGGGCACUUACAGAAGUAUCCUUCUUUAUUUACUCUAGAACAUAUAUGUAGAAGAAUGAGUGAAUUAUGCCCUUAUGUGUUGGAAUCUAUUUUAAAGUCAUCAGUUUCUUUACCAUUUUAGUCUCUGAAGUCUGUACAUAUGCAUAUGCAAACUCAAGCAAAGAUAAGUAAACACAAACAAACAAGCACAACUACACAGACUAACUUGUAAAGUCAGAAAUGCACAGAUAUGGCUCUGUACCCAUGUCCAGAUGAGGUGCCUAACCCUGUCCAGCUUGUUAGAUCAGUUGGUAGAUUGAAAUUAAGGUUCCAUAAUUUUCAAAAUUUUUCCCAAUUCUGUCUAGAGUAUGACAUGAGACUAGAUUAUGAAAUUUCUCACUUCCUCGAAUGUGGAUUACCUAUAGAAUCAAAUUUAUACUCUUGAUUCUACUUCUGCAAGUAAUGGCAUUUGACGAAUUUGUAGAUGUAGAUUUGAAGGGAGCUAGCACACUGUUGGGUGAUACAUGCAGCAUACUAAAAAACACAGGGGAAUGUAGUAAUGCAUCCAAAACUAGGGGUAUAUUUAUACUAAGCCCUAAUCAUUCUCAAAGAUGCUCCAUUUUGUGGCCAAGAAGAUGGAGGUGAAAAAAGAUAUAUGGAAGUUUACAAAGGGUUUUUAUGAGAUUGAAGAUGUUCUUCUUUUCCCCAUCUUCUUGGCUGCCAAAAAUAGAACUAAUUUUUGUAUAUUAGUGUGGAUAUGUAAAUCUUCUGAAAUUAUUUAUCAUUUCCAAAUCUCAAAAUUGAUGUUGCUGGCAGAUGCAUUUUUUAGCAUCAAUCUAACCAUGUAGGUGUCUCCACUUAAAAAUUUUAAAGAAUUCUUUGUGAAACCAAAGUAAAUUAUUUUCAAAUCCUCAGGAACCCAGUGCAUAGAUGAAGAAGCUUUCUCUAGAAAGAGACAGAAAUUACGUCAGUGGGUAGAUACCUCAUUUCCUGAAAUUGAUGCACUCUAUUCGAAGGGGUUAGGCAUUUGACCUUACAUAAAUUGUUUAAUUUCCUGAAGCUUCUCAUUAUAGAUUCAGUAGAAAAUUUCUCAGGUAUGAUUUCAUUUCUGUGCUACUCAGUCGGCUAUCCCCUAAGACUAGUGAAAACAAGGUAUGCUCUUUCAAUUUUCAUUGGAUCUUAAUCCUCUUUUGGUCCUUGAUUAUCGUUCUGAAAACUAAUUUCUUUAGCAGAGUUCUAAGGGUCAAAAGAUGCAGCCAGUGGAGAUUGAUAUGAAAUUGAAGUUACAGACUUUUUCUGAGUCAUAUAUUCACUCCAACAAACUUCAAUAUAGUCCAAUACAGAAUUUUAGGAGACUUGAAAAUGGACCAUACUUGAAUGAUGGUUCUUCAUUUUGUCAGAUUGACAACUCAAAAGAAAAACUUCUGUGGAAAUGGGAUUUAGGUUCCCCCCCUCCAACCUGCCCACCUAGCAAAUUCCAUCUUCAAUACCAAAAGCAGAAGCCUGAUUGUGACUUAGAUGGUGAAAGCUCUGCAUGUUUGUGGACUGAGAAUGAUUCAACUUCUGAUUUUUCAUUUGAAAAAUAUGGACUGGCUGUAUCAAGCCAUCUCAAGGAACUGGAUGAAUUCCAUGGCCAGAAAGAACUGAUGCUUGGAAGUGAAACACACUCUCUCUUGCUGGAUUGGGAUUUUGACAACAUGAAAGGUGACGAAAUAUUAAGUAUUGCCUCUCCCAAUAUGGACCUCGACAUGAAUUCCACAUUACCAAUUUCAUUGGCUGAUGAUUAUUGGCAGAGUGGAGAUAAUAGGUUUAAUGCAAGUGGGUUGUUUCCAUCAUCGUUACUAUCCUAUACUUCAUUAACACACUCAUAUUCAGAUAGCUAUCACAACUAUGACCAUGGACAACAUAGCCUUGAAGAGAGAAAAUGUCUGGUUGCAAAGCUGCAUCAUUUUCCUUUAACCUUAUCAUACUGUCCUAAUCUUACUGAAUAUUGCACUUAUGACUACACGUGCAAAGAUGGCAGCAUUGUCUGUUCUCCUCAAGGCCAUCAUUGGUCCAUGAGCAUGUUUUUCAAUGAGAAGCAGCAUCCUGGUUUGGAAGCUCUUCUCCUUUCUUCUGGAUUUGAUUUUGAUUUAAGACAGAAGCACUUCUUGUUAACUGAUUACCCUGGAGAACAUCACUCAUCUGCUUAUCAGGCUCUUCAAUUUCCACAAAAGGAAGGCAUAUGUUCGCACUUUGUAGAAGAUGAAUUUACAAGUUGGCUGGACAACUCAAAUCACAAAGAAACCCUUGGUUGUUUUUCUGGAGAUAUACUGAACAUCGGUGACUGGUCCUCCAUUAAUUUGCUGAUGUCUCUCAACAAAGAAAGGGCAUGUCCUUUGCUGCUUGAUAAAUCAAGCUGGGUUGUGUCUGAAGCAGAAACGGAUAUUGAUGAUUGUGAAGGCAAACACACUUGAUGGAAACAUAUGCAUUGUUGGUGGGACCUUCAUGAUUCAACUAAGGGUGCCAAUUGCUGGAAGGUGGUGUUGCUUUUCGAUCUUCAUUGCAAAUGGUUCAUCAUGGGUAGUUACAUACAUCAAUGAAAAAAUUUUAAUGUUUGAAGCUUUUAGGUAGAUAUAAUACUUGGAUACUUAUGACAAUUGCUUUACUCGAAUACUCUUAUCAACUCACAUCAUAUGCUGUUGGUUGAAACAUAAAUGUUCAACUUCCAUUGUACAUCAUCAUAACAUUCACUAUUAAAGAAUACAAUAUUACCAGAAUGGAUGAUGCUAGCUUAAAGUUACUGCAUUUCUGAUUUUGAAAUCUUCUUGCAUAUCAAUCACUAUUAAGAUAUUAGAUCAUAUAAUCUUGGUUAUAGCGUAACUUAAUGACUGGUUAUUUCCAGCUUUAGCAGAUAGAUUAUAGCAUACAGUCUGCUUUGAAAUGUAUAUUUUGUGGUGCAGGUGCCAUCAUUUCCUGGACACUUAACUGAGAACUUCAGUUCUGAUUGCACCUAAAUAUUUCAGAUUUUGGAAGGGCCUUAUUUUAGGUUGUGCUUCAUUUUGUGGAAGUCAUUUUCAAAUGUAUAUCUUCUUCUGUUAACUACCUUACUAAACAUCUGGUCAUAAGUUGAUGUGAUUGGUAGGUUAUGAGUCUUAAAAAUUUUUGUUAGAUAAACAAUAUGAAGAUAGUGGAUGUGAUUGGUAGGUCACGAAUCUUGAAAAGACUUUUAUGUUAGAUCUUUUUUAAAAGAUUGUGUAAGUGUUGAAUAUAUUGGCAGGAAAUCUUAUCUUGGGAGAUUUAUCGAUCCCAAGUUCUCUACCAUGUUUUCCUAAUUUAAGUUUCCUCUAUUCAAGUCUUGUUUUCCCAGGAAAACAACCCUAGAUGGGGCAAACAGCUCCAGGAAACUCCACAGAAGCUGCUAUCUUCUUCUGGUAAGUUCCAUUGAUCUCGGAUUGCCUACUCCCUUCAUUUUCUGGGUUGCCAAACCUUUAGUACCUCGAGGAUAACUUACACUGCAUUCAAGCUACUCACUUUGCAUUUAAUACUGCCUGUAAGUUUUUUUAUGGGAUGGUGUAAAAGAGAACUCAACUGGUAUUUUAUUUACUUAGUGUUGGGACAGUGCUUUUAAACAUUGCCUUAUGCAUUGAAGGCAAAACAUUCAUCAUCAUGCUGCAGUGUUGAGAUUGCAUUUACACAAAAUCAAUACGUCACCAAAAAACUGGCUGAGAAGCUCUGUGGAUACCACUAGAAACCCUUAUUUUUGUGAUUAAAAAUCUGAGUAGCAUUUCUUUAUUUCAUUUCUACUAGAAUUGAUACUAUUCUGAGAUUUGUUGCUGGGUUUGGUGCACAUCUUUAAUGGUGUGGUACCUUGGAGAGAUGGCCUUUGGCAUGUGCCAGAGCCAAGUUUGGGGAUGUCCUUCAAUUUUGCACAAUGUUUGAGAUUGUGCCUGGCCUCUUUUUAGGUGCUGGGGGGGCCUUGGGCCCUUUAUGAAGCACUAUGUCUUUAAUGACUCUUCUCUAGUAUGCUUUUCUCAUUGUUGUUUUGCUUCUGGGUACCUUUACAAUCGCAUCUCAUUAAAUCUAUGGUCACAACCUAAACAACCAUCAUUUUUGUGCAAUUCUUGAAUCAUGUUAAGCAUGUUUAACAAGUGCUAUAAAGUCCCUCCGCAACUACCCCUAUUUUUUGUUCUCCAUAAAGAUAGCCUACGACUUGUAUACAGGGUGUAAGUUAUUAAAAAGUCUAGUAUCAGUCUUAGGUGGUGUUUGUUUUUUUUGUUGAAUAGAAAAAAUCAAAAUAUUUAACUUUUUCUAUUCAGUUAAAAGUAAUAUGUUGACAUCAUUCAGUAUAACUAAAGUGAAUUUAUUAUCAAUAAGUUUAAUUUAGUUAUGUUGGAUAAUGUCAACGAAUUACUUUUAACUUAAUAGAAAAAGCUAAUAUUUUAACUUUUUUUUAUUCAAUCAAAAAACAAACACCACAUUAAUCAUCGAUAAAGUUCUCAAAUGGUUUCUGAGGCAUAGGUAAAUUAUAAUUUUUAAAAGAUAAUAUUGAUAUAUUAAUAUUUUAUUAAAUAUAAAAUAAUAUCUAAAUAUAAAAGAAAAUAAAUUUUAAGUCAUGAGUUUUUCUAAUAAAAUUAUUUAAUAAACUUAAAAGUUUUUACCCACCUUUACCUAAUAACGGUUGACUUUUAACAAGUCGAUUUGAAUAGAAUCUUUGGUAUUUUCACUUAUGUAUAAAAUUAUUUUAAUUUUUUAUAAUAUUUGUACCUAUAAUAAAAAAAAAUGUGUGCAAAAAUUAUAAACAAAUGAAGUGGAAUAAUUAGCGUAAAAUUGAAGUCAGGGCUGAUUUUAAAAACUAAAUCAAGUGCCCAUCUUGUCGUUGGUAAGGCAAAAACCAUGGGCCACAUUCUCCCAACUAUUCACUCCAAACAAAAACAAACUAUUCUACUAUUUAAUCACGAGCUUUACCGUCCACGGACAACGUGAACUGCCUCCGCAAGUGGGUUAGUUUUGACACGUGUCGUGACCCCACUGGUCUCCGCAACAUCCUCCCUCGACACCCACCCACUCCCCCGGUGCCCCCGCCACGUCAUACGACCAGGGCAGCCUCCGUGACACUCCGCUCUUGAAGACCACGCGCCCCACCGGAGGAUCUUGUGCUUUUACCAUAGCGCCCCCUCCCUCAUUAAAUCGCCUGCACGUGACGGUUGAUGCCACGCUGCUGUCGCGGGGCUCAGUGAUUCGGUGCUAACGGGUGUACACACUGUAGAGUACUGAUCUCGCAGUCUCGGUACAUCCUCCAGGUCAUGGUUCUCCCUUUAUCUCAAUCAUACGGCCCACUUUGAUUUAUUCUACAUUUGACUUGCUGAUUCAAUCAUCCAUAAUGUAAAAUGGGGUUUCACCUAAAUCAACUAUUUUUCCUUUGUCCUUCUAAUCUCAGUGUACGUUUAUCCACUGUUACAACCAACCCUUGUUGUUUUGUUUAAAAAUAUUAAUGAAAGGACAAAAUAAUAAUAACCACUGCCAUUUAAAGUAACUAAAAUGAUAAACAAAUUCCACCAAAUCAAGAAUUCCCCCUGUUUUUUAUUCUCUCCUUCCAAUCAAUUAUUGAUGUUUAUCACACCAUCUAGAUUAAUUAAGCCCAAUUUUUAAUUCUUAAUUUGUGAAUUUCCAUGAAUUCCAAAUCCUGCACCUAAUCUAAGACUUAAAUGGAAGAGAGGUUAGAUGGCAGAUACAGUAUAGAUAUAUAUAUUAAAAAUUCUUUUCUGAAAUUGUUUUAGUUUCCAUGUUUAGUUAUACCUAACAUUAAGCAUUUCUUUAUACUUUUCUUUAACUUAAAUUUGGUUGAAUCUGAAAAAGGGUUUUAGGCUCAACUAAGGAGCACUUUUUACAUCCUUCUUUGAUUCUAUUUUCUUUUCUUUUUUAUGCGCUAUAUUAGAAAUAAUUUUUUUUUAAAUGCAUAAGGUAUUACAUCAUCUUCAUUGUAUUCUUCAAAUUGCAUGAUCAUGACCUAACACGUAUGAUUUGUUAAGCUCAUUUAACAAAUGGGUUAAGUUCAAUUUUUUAUGAAUUGGUACGAAAAACUUUUUAAUACAUUUCUAAUAUAUUAAAACUAUUAAUACGAUUAAGUAAACAAGUGGAACAUAUCAUAAAUAAUUUGGGUCAUAAAUGAAUCAUUUUGAUACGAUUAAAUAAACAAGUUUGAUGAGUUAAACAAUUAAGAUCUACUCAUUUAGAUCAUCUAAAGCCUUUAGCUCUUUGAAUCCUUAUUUGUUCUAUCGUAUAAAAUCCUCAUGUGAAAAACAAUUCUUUGCUUGCGCUAAGUAGAUUGACAUGAUUUUAAGACAAACAUGAUUACACUAAACUUGAAUAUGCUAAAUUUCAUAUUUUUUUUGUCAUAGUGUCAUAUCCUAUAAAAGUUAAUGCCCCUAACUUUGACUCUGAUUGUUUUUAUUUAUUUUAUUUUAAUAUUAUGCAUACAUCUUAAUAAAAUGGUGUUUGUUUGUUUGCUUUUUUUUACUCAAUUUUAAAUAUAACUUAAAACAAAAUAUUAUUUAAUAGUUUUAAGUUUUAAGUUGUUUUAUAUAUUUUUUUAAUAUUUUCUUUUUAUUAAGUAUUAAAAAAAAAAUUUUGUUUUUUUGUAUUUUUUUUUUCAAAAAAAGCUCAGUUAUGUUGAUUGAGGGUGAAGUUGGAUCUUCAGAUUAUGUUUUAUUGGUUGGUUUCAAUGAGUUAUGCUAGUUGAUUUCAAUAAUUUACUUUUAGCAUUAAGAAAAAGUCAAAUAUUUUAAUUUUUUUAUUUAAUAAAAAAAUUUUAAAAAUAAAUAACUAGUCAACAAAAAAUUAAAAAACAAAUAAUACCGAUGUUGAAAAUAAGUUACUAUUAAUAAUUUAUUUAUUUAUUUUAUAAAAAAAAAAACAUCAUCUAAGAUCAAAUUAUGUAAGAUUAAUUGCAUGAAAUGGGUUAUUUUUUUAAAUCCAUUAUUAACUUUAUUUAUUUAUAUAUAGAUAACCUAUUUCUAAAACUACUAGACCCUUCUACUCCUCUAUUUCCUAUAUACCACACUAGAGGAGGUUCCAACACCUUGCAUGUCAAUUCAUACUUUAUGGAAAUGUAAUUUAGCAUGCCACCCACUAUAGUUUUUGCAUUUCCUUUUAAAGGAUCCACCAUGGGAAAGUGACCUUUUUCAUGCCCUUUCCAUAAGUUUAUUCAAUUCUUGUCUUUUUCUACUACCCAAAUCUCAACCCUUCAACAAUUACAUCAUUAUGUAGUUACACCCCCCUAAUAGCUGAAUUAAAUACUCAUCAUUCCAUGAAAAAUACCUUCCCAAGUCCCUUUCACUCCCUCUCAAAAUGAUCCCAUUGACAAUGAAAAGAGAUUCGGUUGAUGGCCCGUCAAAAGAUUUUUUGUUCUAUUCACUUGUGACAACAUCCCUAGCUUAAAUCAUUCAUUUUGAUGCACAAGUAAUAUAUUGAUGGGGGCGGGCUCGCUCACGUCUUUGAAAUUAAUUAUUAAAAAUAUUCGAAAAAAAGAAAAAAAUUAAAAAAAUUAAAAUAUUAAAAUUAGAAAAAGAGAACAGGGUUUUCUUGUUUGGUUUUAAGUUUUUACUGAUACCAAAAAUUGUAAAAAUAAUGUAAUUAGAAUUUUAUAUAAUAACAUUCUUAUGACCAUUAUGCUCUCGUGACCUGAAUCCAUGAUGAUGACUCUCUCUUUUAACAUGUGGUUCUCGUAGUUCAUGUUUAUGAUUAUGAUUCUGAUACUAAUUCUUGAAAUCAUUAGGAUAACUCAUUUUUAAGUUUAAUAGAGAUAUUAUUAUAUAAUUGAAAAAUAGUAAAAAUAAUGUAACUAAAAUUUUAUAUAAUAACAUUUUCAUGACCAUGAUGUUCUCGUGGUUUGAAGUCAUAACGAUGACUCUCUUCUAUCACGAGAUUUUUGUGACUCAUAUGUAUGAUGAUGACUUUGAUACCGAUUCUUGAAAUCAUUUAAAUGACUUAUUUUUAAACUUAGUAGCGAUAUUAAUAUAUCUCAAUAGACAUGCCAUGAGAUUGAUGAUAUUAUAAUAGUAAUUAUUAUUUUUAUUAUAGACACAACAUGAUUUACUAUUAUAUUUUUAUUUUUAAUUUAUAUAAUAAUUUUUUAAUAUAUUUAUAAUUAAUUAUUUAAAAGAAAUUAUUUUUUGAUAUAAGAUAAUAAUGUAUAGUCUAAUAAUUAAACAAAACUUUCAAAAUAACAUUUAAUUUCAAAUAUAUAUGCCAUCAUCUUUAUUCCUAUUUAAUAUUUUUUAAAUGUAUAAUAAUUUACAUCCUCUUUUAUAUUGAUUUAAUUAUUUUUUAUUUUUUAUUUUCUAAAAAAUCAUUUUUAUUUUUAUUAAGAAAAUUUGGAAAUAUCUCAUAGACGUUUUUCGUUUUUUUUUUUUUUCCAUUUUUGAGCUAGUAUUUUAAAAAAUGAUAACAAAAACACACUUUUCAAAUUUGUUUUAAUUUUCUAGUUUCUUUAAAAAAAAAUUAAAAAUAGAAAAGAAUCUAAAUCAAUGGAGAACAAAGAGUGCCAUUAUGGUAAUUAAAUUGGAAAAGAUGUCCUACUUAUACCAUCAAACUUUUCCUGAUUUAUUACCGUUAGACGACGCGUUUCGGGAUGUCGAUGUAAUUUAGGAAUGAAUAUUAAUGGUUAUUACUAAUUUUUAUAUUUAUUAUUUUUGGGUCAAAAUAAAUAAAUGUUAGGUUUUUGAAGACCAACAAUAAAUUAUUUAUUUAUUUUUUAUUAACUUUGGAUCAUAAUUUUCUUAAUUUGGUAAAAAAGAAUGAAAUAAAAUCUUAGGUCUUAGGGCAGGGGCACGAAUGAUAAUAGGCCUUUAGGGGAGGCUAGCGAGAAAAAGACGGAAAUAUGGGGGUGUGACAUGAAAAUAUGAAAGAUUACAGGGAUGAUAACGCAAGACUGUGUAAAAUAUUAACAAUGUUAUCUGUGAUCACCUGGUUUUCAUACUUCGCUUUCUCUCUCUCCAUCUAGUCUCUUCGGAAUCGAAACACGUAAAUCAAUCAAAAUUAAAUAAAGUCAUUUCAAGUCCGUCAGCGUCGGUGCGAAGAAGGGAAGAAAAGCCACUUCCGCUCCCCCACUCCGUCGCUCGAUCCUGUCCGAUUCUCCGGCCUCAUUGCCACCGGAAUGUAAGAUUCCGGCUACCUCUAUCCGGCCACACCGCUGCUCACCGCCAGGUCCUAGUCCUUUAUCUUGCUCUGCAACUUUUUCUCUCUACAACUUUCUCUCUCUACUAUGCUUCAAUUUUUUCUGUCAGUAGCUUUUUGCCACUCUUACGAUCUCGCACUUUUCAAUGCUUUGUUUGUCUCUCUCUAAGACUUUCUCUCUCUAGAUUGCCUUUUCUUUUGGUCUGCUGUACUCGCAGCUUUCUGAAGCAAAUUGCAAAUCUCGAUUCUGGACUUCUGGUUUUGUUGUUGUUGUGUUUUUUUUGGGGAGCCGGGGGCUAAUUUUGUUCUCAGUAAUCAGUUUUAUGUUUUCAUUGCAGUGAUUUUAAAUAGUAGUUUUGGUUUGGCUUUUUUAUUUUUAUUUUUAUUUGAUUAUGAGUUUAGGGUUUCAAAUUGAAUGGAUUGCGCAGUUUGAGUGAAUUGAGGGCCUUACAGCGACGUGUGAUGUGAUUUUUCAUGGGAAUUAUUCUCUGCGGACAGUAGAAAUGUCUCUUUAUUCUUAUUCUUUCUCAUAAAUCUAGGUGCUGUGACCUGUGGGUUUUAUCCUCCUGCAUCUACUACGCGCUUAGAACUUGCAGAUUUUGAAUUCUCAGCCUUGGAUUUGUGGUUGAUACUGUCUCUAUUGCAAAGAAGACUGGGUUUUAUUUUUAUUUUAUGAUCUUUUAUUUGGAGUAAACCUGUGGUCUAUUUGGAGGUUGGUUUUGUUGUAUAUGCUAUGCAAAUAUUUUGAAGUUAUCUUCUUUGUAUGAAGUGUACUACUAUUCAACUAUUCCGUGGCUUGAAUGCAGCUGCACUUCUUUUCCUGCUGUUGGCUGUAGUCUGUACUUUCUGUUUCUUGCUGCAUUUUGUUGAUUUUGCUGACUGGUCAAAAGAAACGAGUUCUUUCCAAAUUUGUAUAUUAUAGGCAUUAAUUGGUAUUAACUUUGCCAACUUUCCGAUCUCAGUUGCUGAAAUGAGCGGGAUUCACAACAGCAAAACUCGGGGUUUUGAGAAACCAUUUCCGGGAUGCUUGGGAAGAAUGGUUAACCUCUUUGAUUUGAAUGCAGGCAUGCCUGGAAACAGGAUGCUUACUGACAGACCCCAUCAGGAUGGUGAGGUUUUCUUUGCAUAGGUUUCCUUUUUCUUAUUAUUUUUUCAUUCCCACCAGAAUUUCUAUUUAGUUUGCAGAACAAGCUUGAACAAAAAUUUGUGAUAUAUUGUGUUUAGGUUCUCCUACCUUCCUAAGUGUUCUUACAUGUUGAGAGGGUAUAGGGGAAUUAAAGUAUUGAUUGGGUUCUAAUGUGAUUGGUUGAUUUGGUAAAUUAUUUAAUUGGUUGAUAGUUACUCUGAAUUCCAGCAGAAAGGGGGUAGUGUUUGCGUGGUAUACUUGGGCCUGAUCAAAUUUUGUGCUCCAAAAUUGGCUCAGAAGUCAUAACAAGAAUACAUACUCCCCAAUUUUCUUAUAUUUUAAAUGACUGAAAAUAGAAUAUUGAAGAUUUGGUUUAUUUAUGAUAAUUUCUCUGGUUUCUUUGUAGGCGUUUCUCUUAGGGCUUAAAUAUUUACAGGUUGAUCUUGAUUGCUUCCUUUGAUUAGUUGCUCCCCUUUCACUCUCUUGAGGGUAUAAAUGCAUGAGAUAAAAUCAAUUUUUAGACCUGAAAAGCUUCUGAUUAGAAUAAUUCUCUCAGUUAAAAUGGUACUAAAUUCAUGAUUAUUGCCUUCUUUGUAGCUCCUAUGAUAGGAAGGUUGAGUACCAUGAAGGCUACUUUCCUUAUGACAUCUUUUAUUAUCUUCAGUUUUAUAUUGCUAAUAACAAUAUCAAGUCAAUUGUUGACAUGUCCAUUGAUUAUCAGGUUCUCCACUUUCAAGAAGUCGAUCUGAUGUGGCAAGGGUAUCAAGUCCCACUGGAGAUCAGGUAGAGGAUAAACCGGUAAUCUUUUUAAUCUUUCUAGUGGUAAUAAUUAUAUAGAAUUCAAAACCAUGUGUAGUGGGUCUGUCUUGGAUAUGAAUUAUUGUUUUGUUGUCCUGAUAUGUGUUGCAUUCAUCUUCGCUGUGCAGAUGGUGUCUGAGUUAAGCAGAACUUCAAACAGGAAGUCAAAUGGGACACCCGUGAAGAUGCUCAUAGCCCAAGAAAUGUCAAAAGAAGUGGACUUGAAGCAUAACCCGCCCGGUGUGGUUGCCAAGUUGAUGGGUCUUGAUGCCCUCCCAGGCCGGCAGCCUGAUCUAUCUCCACAAAGAAGCCAUUCAAAUGGUUAUUCACGAAAUAUUUCCACUCAUUCAGGGAUACCAUUGGGAUGUUGGCAGCAAGAACAUGGCUUCUUUGACAAGCAAAUGCAAAAUGAUGGUCAUUGUUGUCAGGACCAGAAUGACUAUAAAGAUGUUCAUGAAAUCUGGCAGCAGUCUCAGAAAACCAAUUACAUAAGAGAUAAAUCGCCACAGAAGGGACGACAAGGUGAUAAUGCAAAUGAGAAAAAGAUGGCUCUUGUUCGCCAAAAGUUCAAUGAAGCAAAAAGUCUGGCCACAGAUGAAAAACUUCGCCAGUCUAAAGAAUUUCAAGAUGCUUUGGAAGUUUUAAGUUCCAACAGAGAUUUGUUCCUGAAAUUUCUGCAAGAACCAAAUUCCCUGUUUACUCAGCAUCUAUAUGAAUUGCAGUCUAUUCCUGCACCUCCUGACACUAAGCGUAUCACUGUCCUUAAGCCUUCAAAGGUGAUGGACAAUAACAAAUUUGCUGCAUCUGGAAAGAAGAUUGAAAAACAGAUAAGGAAACCAGUCCAGAUAGGUCAAGCAAAUUGUUGGGAAAAAAAUAAUCCUGGAUAUUCCCCUCCUUUUUCCAAUCAGAAAGCUGAUGAAUAUCCUCCUCAACCAACUCGAAUAGUUGUACUGAAGCCUAGCCCUAGUAAGGCUCAUGAAAUCAAGGUUGUUGUUUCUCCACCUUCCUCAUCUCCAAGAGUACUGUGUGAUGAAGAUUUCCAUGGGGAACCAGAUGAUGAUGAGGCAUGUGAAUCAAGAGAAGUGGCAAAGGAGAUCACAAGGCAGAUGCGUGAAAAUCUGAGUGCUCACAGGAGGGAUGAAACUUUGCUUUCUUCUGUGUUUUCCAAUGGUUAUAUUGGUGAUGAAAGUUCAUUUACUAAAUCAGAAAAUGAGUUUGCUGUAGGAAACCUUAGUGAUUCAGAAGUCAUGUCACCAACUUUGAGGCAUUCUUGGGAUUAUAUUAAUAGCCCAUAUUCUUCCUCCUCCUUCAGCCGAGCAUCAUAUUCUCCAGAGUCAUCGGUUUGCAGAGAAGCCAAGAAGCGUCUUUCUGAAAGAUGGGCCAUGAUGGCAUCAAAUGGUAGUUGUCAGGAACAGAAACACGUUCGGAGAAGCUCUAGUACAUUGGGUGAGAUGCUUGCUCUUUCUGAUAUAAAGAGAUCAGUAAGACUUGAGGAAGUGGAUAUUAGUAAAGAACAAGAUCCACGGGGAUCAACUUCAUGUGUGACUAGUAAUUUGGUUAAGGAUGAAGAGGCAGAUAAUUCACCUAGAAAUCUUCUGAGGUCAAAAUCUGUCCCUGUGUCAUCCACAGUUUAUGGUGCCCGACUCAAUGUUGAAGUUUCGCAUCCAGAGGUUGGCAAAACACAUGUUCCUAAGGAGCUGACGAAGGCAAAGAGCACAAAAUCAUCAUUCAAAGGGAAAGUUUCAAGUUUAUUUUUCUCUAGGAGUAAAAAAUCAAGUAAAGAAAAAUCUGGUGUAUCUCUAUGUAGAGAUGAAUCUCCAUCUGCCACUGCUGAAACUCUUCCAGUACAUAUGACUGCUGGGAAAGUUUGUGAUGAUGUGUCUCAGUGUGCUAAUGACAGUGGUACUGAAGAGGGCAUAUCUCAUGGUCUACGCAGAUCAUCAAGCAAACCUUCUUCCCCAGAUUUAAUUGGAAUGGUACCAACGCAAUCCAUAAUUUCUAAUGAGGUAUUUCAAUAUUCUUUAUAUUUUUAUCCAUGCUUCCUCUCACUAGUUUGCUUAUGUUUGUUUGAAAUAUAUUUUUAGCUGUUGGCUUUCUUGUUUUUGGAGUGGUAAGCAAUGGCGAUAGUUGUGAGAUAUUGGUUCAAAAGCUGUUUUAACUUGCAUUCUGAAAUGUUGCUGCUCUUUUCGCUAUACAAAAGUUUGAAAGCCUAUAGAUGUGUUAUGAGAUAUUCCCACACUGCAUAUUUCAGUUCAGCCUCAGGAACUUCUUCCAUUCAUAUGCUUUACUUAAUCACACUGUUUCCUAUGAGUUAAUUUUGUCUCUAUUUUGAGUUGGAUGGAAUGGAAUGGAUUGCUUCUGUGAGUCAAUUGAAGGUAGAAUAGAAUAUGUUAAAUCUAUCAUGGAUUCUGACAUGAGGUUGUGCAAUGCGGUAGUCACCUCUAAGCAAAGUAAAUUUGAAAGGUGCAUCCUUUUUUGGAAUGAUAUUCCACUGAAAUAUGUGUCGGACAUGAUAGCAGAACCAAAAAAUGAAGAAAGCCUAAGAUAGGACAGUCCUUUUUUUUAGGCUAUGUUUGUUUCUCGGAAAGUUCUAAGAAAAAAAAAUGGUAAGAAAAAUGAUUUUCUCAUGCUUGGUUUUAUCAUAAAAAAUAUGAAAGUCAAAUAUGAUUAAAAUUAAUAAAUUUUUUAUAUAUUUUUAAAUUAUUUAAUCUUUAUAUAGUAGAGUUACAUAAGUUAUAUAAACUUAAAAAGAGUUUAUUAACUUUAAAUCUGUUUUUUAUUUUCCUUUAGUUUUUGUUUUCUUUCAAUUUUUCUCUCUAUUUUCAUUCAUUUGCAUAUUCUGUUGAACUUUCCAGGAACCAAACAUAGCCUUAGGGUGCUCUAGAUAAACUUGUGUUGAUCAACUGUUGUUAGCUGUGACAAUCAAGCAUAUGCUCUUUGUAUCUUCAGUAUGCCAUUGUAAAAUGGUAGUGGAAUAGCUAACUGCAUCCGUUUAGCUUGGUUCCACAUGUUACCAUGAAUUGGAUUCCUUAGUAAAUCUUUGAGUCUACAUACGCCUAGCUUGGUUCCAAACAUUACCAUGAAUUGGAUUCCUUGGUAAAUCUUUGAGUCUAUAGAAUGUCAUGACAAAGUCUGUUGUCCAAGAUAAUCAUACUAUGGGAUCAUUGAUCAGGAGUUUCUUUACUUUUUGCAGGCUGGAUUGUCUGUGGCAAAGCCUGUCACACCCGGAAACCCAAGUGAGAGUCAGGGCCAGCCAAGUCCAAUUUCAGUCUUAGAACCACCUUUUGAAGAGGAUGACAACACAAAUCUAGAGUUCGCUGGCAAUAUCAAGACAGACCAACAGGGUAUGUAUUGUUUGUAGUUGCAUUAGAAAAGGCUUUUUUUCUUUUUAUGUCUUUUUUAACCUCUCUUGCUUCAUUUUUUUGCUGUAUUCCAUGGCUUUCUGAACAGGUACUCAGGUUCUUGUUCAUCCUCUUAAAUCAAACUUGAUUGACAAAUCACCCCGUAUAGAGUCAAUUGCUCGGACUCUAUCAUGGGAUGAUUCUUGCACAGAGACUGCUACACCAUACCCAUUGAAACCCUCCUUGGCUUCCUCAAGAGCUGAGGAAGACGAACAGGAUUGGCUUUUCUUUGUUCAAACACUAUUAUCAGCAGCAGGCUUUGACGACAAUGUGCAAACCGACACAUUUUUUUCCAGAUGGCAUUCACCCGAAACCCCAUUGGACCCAGCAUUGAGAGACAAAUAUGCAGAGCUGAAUGACAAGGAGAUCCUCCAUGAGGCUAAGAGAAGACAACGGAGAUCAAAUCGGAAGCUAGUUUACGACUGUGUAAAUGCAGCACUUGUGGACAUCACAGAUUAUGGGCCAGACUGUACGCAAAGGGCCAGGAGGUGUAGUGGGGCCUACAACACAGGGGUAGAGGGUGGAUCAUCCUCACCCAUCCUAGUGGAGCGGGUGUGGGGCAGGAUGAAGGAAUGGUUUUCUGGUGAGGUGAGGUGUGUUUGGGGUGAGGGUGGGGACAACGACCUGGUGGUAGAGAGGGUGGUGAGGAAGGAGGUGGUAGGGAAAGGUUGGGUUGAGCACAUGAGACUGCAAGUAGAUAAUAUAGGGAAGGAACUAGAAGGGAUGUUGCUUGAAGAGCUUGUGGAAGAGGCUGUGGUUGAGUUGACAGGUAGAGUGUGACGAGGCAUUUCCUUUUUAUUAUUAUUAUUUUUUUUCUUCAAAUCUCCAAACCAACCCACCACCCCCCUCCCCUGUUUUUUAUUUGUAACUCUAUUAUUUGUGUAUCCUGAUUUUCAGCACUCUUAUUUGUUUAAUGCUGCAAAUUAUUGGAAUGUGUAUUUCUUUGAUGUUUGAUUGUUUUUUUCUUUUUCUUUUUUUCUGGUCCUUUGUUUAAUAUAAUAAUAAUAAUAAUAAUAUAUUAUGAACAUAUCAUAUAAAGAUAAUAAUUAUGUAUUUAGUCAAUACGUUUUGAGGUAUGGUACCUGCACCCGACUAUUUGUCUUUACUCUUUUAUCUUUCAUAUCUUCCUACCCAUUUGACCCCAGAGGCUUUGUUUGUUGGGGGCCAUUACACUGUUGUCUUUGAUAUGAUGGAUGGAUGGAGGGUGGUGAAAUGGAGAGCUUACCCAUGUGGCCAACAAAAAAAAACGAGUGUUGUUUUGUGUAAAAUUUAAACUUAUUGUUAUUUGGACCUGUGAUUCUUAGUGGAAGUAUUAGCUGUUUGUGGCAUAUGAGGACACAUCCCCACCCACUUGAAUCUGAAUGCUCUCUCUGACACGCACAACAACCAUAUCCUCUAUCCUGAAACUUUCUUUUUCAUAUCAAUGUCAAAUUGGGUUGGGUUAGGUUGGGUUCUAGGGUUGUUAAAGUAAUAAAGUCUACAUAUUGAUCCUCAGUUGAGUGGAUUGGGUUCAUGCAAAUAAGAGAUUGUUGGAUUUUGAUGACUUUUUGUUCAGUCACAGGGGUUUUUGGUGACAAUCAGGCCUUUGAUUUUUUUGUUGAAUUUAUCAACUUUUUGUGUUUGUUGUUUAACACCGAUCAACCAUCAUUUUUGAAAAGAUUAAAAAGAUGGGUUCCUCAACCAACCCUACUUGUUACUGUCGGCGACAUGAACGACCUGAAUUGACGUUACAACUUUAGUCCAUAUAUACAUGCGGUUGUGUGUGUGGGGUGCAGGCCAUGGCCAUCUUUGCAAAAUGCGACUCAAAAACCACUCUGGCCUUAAUGCUGAUGACACAUCAUUAUCGGGUCAUUGCUCAUUAUUUUACCAUUUCUUUUUUCUCUACAAAAAUUUGGAGAACUCGUUCUCGAAUCUCCAUCUCUCUGUAAAUGGGGCACAGCAUCUUGGAAAAAAAAGUAGAAGAAAAGAAGGGCAGGUGGUACAAAGGGUUGAAUCUCUCCAAAGGAAAAGAGGUAAAGAAGUCUGGGGUUCUUUUAAUUCAUAAAGGGUUUCUCUUUACUCGAUUGUCAUGAUAGAAAUUAAAAUUACGAAAGAUAAACUGAUAUCAAGAACCCACCUUUGUCCUAGAAAAGUAACACAAGUUUCAAAUAGUUGCAGCAUCAUGAGGGAGAAGUGUAUCUCUCCUUUUCACCUACUUUACGAAAUGCCCACAAUCUUUCUCUCACAUGGGACGUCUUUGCAUGCAAUUAGUGACUAAAAAGUGAAAGCAACAAAAAGAAAAAAAAAAAGAUAAUAAAGCAUCGAUACAUGUUUUUAUACCCACCACCGCCUCUAAAUAGUCAGACCCAAAAACUACCCAUUUGGUAAAAGCAGCAAUUUCCAAUGAUAUAGAAAGCCUAUGCAUUAAGAAAUAUGACAAAAAAAAACUGGGAAUAAUUCAAAAAUGAGUGGACUCAUAAAGUGGUAAAAGUAACUCUAAUUGGCUAUAAAAGCAAAAUCCAAGGUAAUGAAUGUGAUGGUACAGAGGAGAGAUUCAAUUCAAAUUGGAUUAGAGAAAAAGGUAGAAACCAUGAGAACUAAUUUGAAAUAAAGUUAAGAGGGUUGAAACCAAAGAAUGAUGACAAAUCUUAAUAUGAUUUGAAAUCAUACAAAAUCAAUGGGUUUGAAUAGAGUGAGAUCGUAUUUGCAUCAUGAUGAUGUUGACCCCUCGUGUUCACUACAUAAGCAGAGCUAGGGUUUGAAGAAUAAUUGAUUAUUUUUUAAGUUUUUUUUUUUUUUUUUAAUUAUUACAAAAACAAGUUUAAUUACUAUUUAUAUUAAUGUAAACUUCUUAAAUUGGUUAAGAAAGUCAUAAAGGUCUCAAAUAAAUAAAAAUAGUAUCAAUUAACACAAAGUUCUACUUGGUGGUGGGGGGUGGGGCAAGGGGGAUUUUGCAAGGAAGUCCUCAAUAUCAGAAAAAUUUCCUUGCUCUUUCUUGACAUCCAAACAAAGCCUAAGUACGGAUGUAUGGCACAUUGAGAGUAUAACGCACAUAUUUAAAAUUUGUGAGUAGAUCUGAAGCAUAGAUUCAUACCAUACGAUCACUUAAUCUUAACAUUUACAUAUUUUGAAUGACUGAUAUUCAGAAAAAUAGAGGGGGGGUGGUGGGGAUUGUAGUUUCAAUCAUUACUGUGAAGACAUAUUUCCAAAGAGAGUUAAAGGCUAAAGCUACUUUCAUGGUAUAGGUUUAAUGGGAUAACAGCCCCACUUUUGCUACCACAAAUUACCCUCUACUCUUCUAUGAAACAAACCACAAUUACCCACCCACAAAGGACAAAGAUUGGAACCCAUUUGGUCGCUGUAAUCACUGAAUUAUACCAAAAUCAGAGAAGCGAGAUUGCGGUUUCUCUCUUUUCUUGGGUUCUGAAUGCAAUGUGACAAAAUAUUUGAGGGAGCAAGGAGAGAAAGUAGAGGGGAUAAGAGGGUAAAUCCUUCCAAGGAGAAGGGUUCACAGUGGGACAAGAGAUCACAGCUGUCAGGGAUGAAGGAAGGGGUUUGGAUGAAUAAAUCAGAUAAUAUCAUUUUGUAUGUCAUGUGGGUUAAAAGAGGGGAAUAUUCCAAGAUGGCAGGCAAAAGAGCAGAUAAAAAGUUGAUAUAGAAUCUCUCACAACCAGACAAAUCAAACUUGUAGUAGUCAAAUUAAAUGGAAAGGUGAGAUCACAUGACUUACGGAGCUGCUGCGAUCAGAUUAUCCAUGACCUCCAUGACCUCCAUACGUGGUUUUGAAGGACCCCCACAUGAGAAGAAAAUGAAAGGGACACAGAUUUUUGUAUGAGGCACAGCACAAGGAAAGUGACAAUCAUUAAUACCAAGAGUACUGCCUCUGUGUGCGUGUGUGGGUGUGGGUUUGUGUGUACGUGGGGAUUCUGCAGAAAUACAAUCGAUUCACUUGUCCUUUGGAUCAAGUACUCUGGUUUAAAAUAAAGCAAAAAAAAUAAAAUAAAAUGUACACUAUAUCGUCUCUCUGUGCUUCCUAUGACACCUCCCUAGCCUAAUUUUUUGCUUCCAAAUAAUUUAAGAAUCGUUAAGAUUUUUAAUCAACCCAUGGAAUAAAAGAUGGGAUUCACAAUGGCAGUUAAGAACAUCACAACUCUAUCAGGGUGCACUCGAUCAACAAGAACCAGUUUAGAGAAACCAACACAAUUUUGCACCUACAUACAUCACAGCUUCCACCAGAGACUCAAGGAAUAAAGAAUUGAAGAGCACUGGAACACGCUCGACUACAAAGAAGGAUUUACAAACACAUACAGCCAUGUUUCUCUCUCUCUCUCUCUCUCUCUCCCUUUGUCCUGUGAGAUACAAUGCCUUCUCAAACCUUCAUUAGUUGGAUUCCAUGUUCGAUGAUGCAUUCUCAUUCAGUACAUUAUACUUUGACAUUGCCUCUGUUCAAACCAUACUGCAAUACAAUAUGCAAGAAUGCCUCAUUUAGAAAAAGUCACUAAUAUUUGUCUGGCAGUUAAAGUUGAAGAUCUACAAGGAACAAAAUAUGAAAAUGUUAAUAAGCGUGUAAAAUGAUUGAUACUAAACAAAUGACCUUUUAAAUAAUGCACAAAUUUCUUACUCAUGGCAACAGCAUGCCCUCAAUUUUGACAUAAACACAAAGUAAUUUCACUAUGAGAAAAUUUACACUAUCAAUAACAUUUCAUGGAUCCAAAUGUUUUGAAGGGAUUAGGAAUUCUCAAAUGCUUACUAGUAGACCAGAAGGUUAAUGAUUGUUCAUGCAAAGACAAUCAACUUGCAUUUGUUAUUAGUUAAUGCCCAGUGGCUUGUGCCACUGAUCCUCUUCUCUUUUUUUCCUCUUAAUUUAUAUCCUAUUUCUCAUUCAACAGACAUUAGGAAGACAAAAAGAAAAAAAUUUAUAGCCAAUGCAAAGUAGGUUUUUUGUCUGAAACAAUUUAAGGAGCCAAAAAGCAAGGAAGUGAAUAACAAAAGAAAAUACAAACAUAUAAAACCAGGACCACAAGCAAAUAAAAAAUAAAUGAACAUGCACCCACCACCCACACAAAUAAUUGUAAUAAUACAGGACUAAAUUAUAUUGAUCACAAACAACCUCAAAAUUAAGCAGAAAAUUUUAUAUAGUGGAAAUUGAAAGUGGAAGCAAAUAAAUUUUCAAGAAACCUAUAAAUGAUCAAGGUCCAAUUGAUCUUGCUUUUACAAGUAAAGGAGGAUAUGCAUUUGGUGAGUGUGCAACUGACAAAUAUCAGCAAAUAAGUUGGACCACCUAAUUAUUUACUGCUUUAUACCCAAUCACAAUAAAUUAGAACCUAGCAUAUUUGUAUGACUUAUCUUCUUUACCAUAAAGCCUACUUCAAGGAUCCAAUUUUGAAGAGAUUGCUUCUUUCAUGACCAGAUUUUGUUUGAGUCAGGCAAGAAUCUAGUAGAAAUAAAGCAAAAGAUAAAAAGCCUCUAUAGUUACUUUUACGAGCUAGAUUUUGAUUUCUUUUCAAAGAGGGGAACUAGAUCUUCAAUCCUUCAAAGGGGAAUUACAUGAAUGCCUACUUUUUAUCUGUCAAAUUUCCAAAGAAAAUAGUUUAUUUCUCAGAAAUUAAAAAGAGAAACAUCCUAACUGGAUAAAUAUCAGCAAGCAAAUUCCCAUGGUUUCAAUGCUCAAGUUUUCGCACUUAUAUCAAAAUAAAAUACCUUCUCUCUCAUCCGUGAGCUCCAGGUCUCCAAAUAAGCCCCUUUGCCAUCACCUUUUGAUGACCCAGAAGUUUGGCUUGCUUGUGGGUUUAGGAGUGGCUCCCGAUUCCUCCCAGCAGCAGUAUAAUCAUCCUCAAUGUCAUAAUCUGUUUUCCGAGUAGAAACCAUGGCUCGCAGGAUCAUUGCUAGUAGUAAAGAUAAUGCCUGAAACAAUAUUAACAUCAAUUUCUCCUUCAAACUCCAUCUUUGUAUACUAUCAUUAAACAUUGUGAGGCCAUGUCCACAGUUAGUAAUGACUUCAUAUGUUUCUUUUAAUAAAAAAUGUAAAACUCUACUUAUUUACAAUCAAAACCCCACUUAAACAAAGCCUUAAAACCCCAAAAUAUUGCACCCUUGUAGAUCAGCUCAUCCUCCAGAGCAUAGAAGAAGACAGACUUUGGAAAGAGAUAUUUUUAAAAGAUUUUGGAAACAGACUUUCUUCAUCUCACUCCUUUCAUUUUCCUGUUGAUUCCUAAUUUAUGUUUAGGCUUUUACCUGAACAAGAAUAUUAAUCAUUGAACUGCAGCAAUUCAUACAAAUACAUGCACACACAUACACACCUGCAGCACAAAACUUUACUUGGGCUCUUUAUACCAAACAUUUAUAUUUUCAGCAGAUUUCAAAAGGAAAUUUUUAUACCUGGGAGCUAUCAACAAAGAGUAUCCAGUUCAAUAUUUAAAAGUCAUUUUUAGUGGCAUAUGUAUUCAUUACUGCUUAAGUUGAUUGCCCAAAAUCAAGGUCUAUUAUGAAACCUUUUUUUGUUUUUUUGUUUUUUUUUUUUGAUAGAUAAGAAGAAAAAUAUAUUAAAAAAGGCCACCAAAAAAGCGACCCACGGUAUAUAAAACAUUUACACCCACCACCAAAGGCCAAAGCUACAAAACAAGAAAGGCUUAAGCAACACCACCCUCGACAAGAUCCCAAUCAAUUGAAAAAAUUGAAAAGAGUUGAAGGAACAUCAUCUAUAAACAACUUCAUUUCUGACCAAAGAAGACAAACAAAAGAACUUUUUAGACUUUGGAUUGAAAGUUGAUUCCCAUCAAAGGCAAUUUUAUUCUUUGCCUUCCAAAUUGUCCAAAAUAAGCAUAAUGAACCAGCUCUCCAAACCUUCUUGCGCUUUUUGCCCACAAAUGAACCAUGCCAACCUAUAAGUGUCAGUCUAAACGACGAGGGUAGCACCUAAGACACCCUGAAAAGGGGCAAAUAGCAACUCCCACAAGACCCUUGUCUUUACACAAUGGACAAGGAGAUGGCUUGUGGAUUCUUCCUCAAUAUGGCACAAAAAACAUUUAUUUGCCAAAGAUCUUCCUCUUUUCUUAACUUGAUCUAAAGUUAAAACUUUUCCCCACGUUGCCUCCCAAGCAAAGAAACCGACUUUAGGUUUCAUCCAUGCCUUACAUAUGAUGCUCUAUGGGAAAGAACUCGAUAUCCCCAAUUCCAAAGCAGUAUAGAGCAACUUCAUUGUGAACUUGUCAUUCUUUGUCUCUAUCCAAGACACCCUAUCUUCCUCAUCCCUAAACACCCUCAACCCAUGCAAGCGUGAUAGAAACCUCUCCACACUUUCCAUCUCCCAAUCAUUGAAAGGUUUAGAGAAACAAGGGCUCCCCCACACACCUCUUUUUUACUUGAAUAGAAGAAUCCUAAACAUCCUCCACCCACACCUCCUUAGAAACUACUAAGGCAAAUAAGGAUGGGAAAGAGCUACUUAAAGAAGCAGUCCCAACACCACUUAUCCUUUCAAAACUUGACCCUCCACCCACUACCCACCAAGAAGGAGAUCCUACUGCUUACAAGACCUUCCUUAUGGCUUUCCAAAAACCAACACCAAACCCCUCCCUCACUUCCCUGGAAUACCAGCCCUCCUCUUCUUCUCCAUACUUCCCAUUGAUAACUUGAUUCCAGAGGGUCCCCUUUUCAAUCACAUAGUGCCAAUUCCACUUGCUCAAAAGAGCCUUAUUGAGUAUGGAGAGAAGCUUCACACCCAAACCCCCUUUCCUUUUGUCUAGGAAAAUAGUAUCCCAUCUCACUAUAUGUGGUUUAUGCUCAAGAGCCCCACCAACCCAAAGGAAGUCUCUCUGGAUCUACCAAUUUACUUUAUGUCUCUAUUAUGAAACUAUUUCAAGAAAGAUGAGGUUGAAAGCAUUCAUGACCCUGUUUGAAGAACUAAAAGUUGGCACUGCCCAUAGUUCAAUGGAGUAGGACACAUCACAGACUUCUUGCAAAAAAUAAAUUCCACUACGCAAUAUGCAAUAUACAUUUUUUUUUUGAUAAGUAAAUGGUAAUAGUAUAAAAGCACCAAAAGGGGUGCAUCAAAGUACACAUGGUGUAUACAAUGCUUGCCAAAGAGCGUCAAAAAGGAUAAGGAAAACAAAAAUACUCCCUCCUUCAAUCUGACCCAGACCAAUCAAUAGAAUCGACUAAGGACAUAGUUGUAUUUUCUAUAAACAAAUUAGACCAAGAUAACAAGUUGCACAAAUACAAGAAUUUCAGCCUUUGAAUAGAGAGUUCCACAUUCUUGAAAUAUCUUCUACAUCUUUCUUUCCAUAUUGUUCAAAAAGGACUUAAAAGCGCUGCUUUCCAAACUUGUUUAUGCUUUCUUCCAACAAAAGAAUCAUAUCACCUUAAAAGGGUCUCAGUUAGAAUGGAUCAUCCAAUACGCCCCAAACACGAAGAACAAGAGUGCCCACAACACUCUUGUCUUUCCACAAUGCAAGAGGAUAUGAUCAAUUGACUCCUCAUAAGCAUCUUGGCUAAAGACUAACCCCUCCUUUGUAGUUGGUCUAAAGUCAAAAUUUCCCUCAUUUGAUGCCUCCCAAGUAAAUAAGCUUACCUUUGGAAGAACCCACACAUUCCACACUACACUUGAUGGGAAAGGCUUUCCCUUCCCACCUCAAGGAUAGAAUAGAGGGACUUCACUGAAAAGGGUCCACUCUUUGCCACCACCUAAUACUCCUUGUCCUCCCUUUCCACAUCCACCACCUUAUCUUGAAGCCUUGACAAAAAGCACUCCACAGUCUCAAUCUCCCAGUCUUUGAGAGGUUUAGAGAAAUUAGGAAUCCAAACACUCCUCUCAUUAGAGUGCAUCCACAAGUCCGUCACCCAAGCCUCUUUAGAGAUAGCAGGGGCAAAUAAGAAGGGGAACGAGACACACACAAGCUCAUCACCACACCAUUUGUCUUUCCAAAACUUAAUCCUUCUCCCAUUGCCCACUAUGAAGGAAAUUAGACAAGAAACUAAUUCCCACAAAUUCCUUAUAGCCUUCCAUAACCCAGCACCAUAGUUGCUCCUCACUUCCUUAGAGCACUAUCCCCUUCCAUUUCCUCAUAUUUACCACAAAUAAUUUCUUUCCAGAAGACAUCCCUUCCUAUAGCAAAGCGUCAAUUCCACUUGCAAAGGAGGGCCUUAUUUAGAGAGUGAAGGUGUCUAAUUCCAAGACCUCCCUUUCUCUUGUCUGAACAAACAAUAGCCCACUUCACUAAAUGAGACUUACUCUCUAAAGACCCACCUUCCUAAACAAAAUCCCUUUGAAUUUUCUCCAACCUUAAACAAACUCUCCUCAACAUCCGAAGCAAAGACACAAAGUAAAUUGACAAGCUAGCUAACGUACUCUUGACCAAUGUUAACUUCCUCCAUUAAGAAAUAUAUUGUCUUUUCCACAUUGCCAAUCUCUUUCGGAACUUUUCUUCAACCCCGUCCCAAGCCACCACAGAAUUAUGAGCAACUCCUAGUGAGAGCCCUAAAUAAGUGGUUGGGAGUACACCCACUUUGCAACCACCUUAAAAGCUAACUCCUCCACAUUCAACACCCUUCCAACCGGAAUGAGGUCACUCUUAGCCAAGUUAAUUUUCAAACCCAAAAUGGCCUUAAACCACAUAAUCAACCAAUUCAAGUAAGUCAUUUAGUUAGAUGUGGCCUCAUAAAACACCAAAGUAUCAUCGGCUAACAAAAGAUGGGAAACCUCCAAACCCUCUCCAUUUCUACCAAACACUUUGAAACCAAACAAAUAACCACCCUCCCUUACCCUUCUAAGAAGGCAACUAAGCGCCUCCAUGGCUAAUACAAACAAACACGGUGAGAGGGGAUCCCCUUGCCUUAAUCCCCUAGAGUUCUGAAAAAACCCCGAUGAAGUACCAUUCACAAACAUCGAGAACCUUGAUGUUGAGAUGAACCAACCAAUCCAAUUGAUCCACCUUCACCCAAAGCCCAUUUUUUCUAACACCUCAAGUAAAAAAUUUCAAUUGACAUGGUCAUAAACCUUCUCAAUAUCAAGCUUGCACAAAACCCCCGAUCUAUUGCUUCUCAGCAUCAUGUCAAUUGCUUUAUUUGCUAUAAGCACCACAUCAAGAAUUUGUCUACCUUCCACAAACACAUUCUGUAAUUUGGAGACCAUUUUGCCCACCAUUUUUUUUAACCUAUUAGCCAACACUUAAGCCAACAACUUGUAAAGGCUGCCCACCAAACUUAUUGGCUUGAAAUCCUUCGAAUCUUUAGCUCCUCCUUUCCUUGGCAACAAUACCAAAAACGUAAGAUUGAGGCUUUUCACAAAACAGCCCUGCUCAUGAAAUUCCUUAAAGAACCCAAAACCUCUUCCUUAACAAAAUCCCAGCAACAGUGCCAAAAAGUUAUAAAGAAUCCAUUUGGCCCUGAUGCUUUAUUCCCAUUAAACUCUGACAAGGCAUUGAACACCUCCUCUCAAAACGGUUCCUCUAGCUUUGUUCCUUUUUGUACAAUUUACUUCUUCAAUAUCCAGUCAGUUGAUUAACACAUUAUGAUUUUUAUGAGUCAAAAUAAUUCAAUAAUUAUACAAAAGAAUCAACCUGUACAAAAGCAGUCAUGAUUCCCUUUCAAAAUUUACAAAAAUAUGACUCAAAUCCACAUACUUUUGAGCCCUAAUUGGUGAAACCUCAAAUUUGGAUUAAGACUGAUGAAAUAGGAUGAUGUGUAAAUGAGUAAAAGAGUAGGACUCCUAAUGUCCUUUUGGAGGUACUACGGGGAGAAGGAUAAAUAUAGUAACACAUUUGGACUACAACGUACCUGAAUUGAGACCACAGUUAUGCCAACCCACUUACAAAUAUCAAUAUUGCCUUCAAUGAAAGAACGAAAGUUUUCAAGUUCUCCAGUUGGGUCAAAUGGAAGAUCCUGAAGUCAUGAUAGGAACAAAGUUUAUGAAAAAUGAUAUGCACACAGGGUGAAAAGCGCCAAGCACUCAUAUGAAAGUAGAUCUAUUUAUGAUCUUCACAAAUAUAAUCAACUCACCUUUUCCCAAUGAUGAUCGAAAGCAACAAAUGCUAUCAAACCCGCUUCCAGUAAAAUGAGUAAAACUGUGAGCAUAGUAUACUAACGUUUUAUAAGGUUAAGGAGAGAUGCACAGAGAGAUAGAAUUGAAUGCAGACAAAAUUAAUCGAAAAAUAAAGUAAUUAAACAAAAUGUGCAAAAUGGACAGAGUGCAUGGAUUACGAAUUCAAGUGCCAACUAUGAUUCCUUUUUCUUUCUCUUCAAUAGUGUGUUUUUUUUUUUUUUUUUUGGUUUUUUAUUUUUGUUUUUUGUGGUUUGUUGGUUUCCAGUCUGUUACCAGUUGAGCAGCCCUUAAGGGCAGUUGGUUUAGGUUCUUUAGUUACAGGAGGUUAGUCACAUAGACAUUAUAUGGCCAAAAUUGAGGGACAGCAAAGUGGAGUAAUAGGAAAGUAAGGGUUGAAGAGAACGACUAGUCUACUGAAAGGGUUCAAAUGAAGAAUUCUGAGGAUAGGCUUCUAAAAUGGAGUGCUGAUUCUAGAAAAUAUCAAUCAUGUCAAAUGAUGAUCUCUCAGGCCCAUUUAUAGGGUUUUUUGUUCUAGGCAAAAGUCAACCAGGGGAAAAAAUUGUAGACCAGUGAGAUGAUUCCAGAUAGCUUUUUAAAGGGACCCUAGAACAGGAACUAUAGAUCACCCAAGACUGCCAUCAAAUAAUAUCUAAGAUAAUUAGUUCAACAUCCAGACAUGGACUCCUAGCAAUAACUCCACACAGUGAUUCCAGUACAACUACAAGUAAUGAAUGCAGGCAUCAGCUAUAGGCAGUGAUUGCAACUACAUGUAGUGACAGUGGACAAAAAUUGUAGGCAACAAUUACAGGCAGCAACUUCAAAGGAUGUGAUCAUAAUUCCCCCAAAGUGCCCACUUGUCCUAUAACAUUAUCAUCAAUGUUGGCAAGGUUGCGCCCUUUGAUUAUUAGCCAAACAACAGUUCGAUGGCUUUCAACAAUUUAUAAGAGUUGUCAACAGAGGGGUUUGAACCAGAAAUUUUAGCUCCCCUUAAAAAGAUGAUGGAGAAAAAGGAAUCAAAGAUCUGAACUAGUGAAAAGAGGAAGACGAAAAACUGUUCAAGAUUUGAAAGAGAACCAGGGAGGUUGGAAUGCUUUGUAAAUUACAAGAUACAAAAAGCUGAAGGGGGUGAGAAUGGCAAGAAAGACUAAGAGCUGGCUACAGUUUGCUGAUGAAGUUAAGAAUAAUUUCAUGGAAUGUGAGAGAAGAAACUGACAGUGAAAGAGGAAGGUUAUAAAGUCCCUCAUUUGAUCACAAAGUAUAGGCCUUAUGUGUUUACAAGAAACAAAAAUUCAGAAUGUGUAGGUAGAGAUAUUGAGGAGCUUAAGAUUGGGAAGAUUUUUAGUUUGGAAGGAGGGCUGGUCUUUUGGGACAAGAGGGUGUUGGAGCUUGAUGGCAUGAAGAUGGGGGGAUUUUCUAUUUCACGCUGCUUCAAGUGUAUUGAAGAUGGCUUUGUUUGGAUUUUCUCUAAGGUGAAUGAGCCAACUUCAAAGAGGGAAAGGGAGGGUUUGUGGGCUAAGUUAGGGGCUAUCAAGGGGUUAUGGGAAAACUUGUAUUGUGUCGGAAGUGAUUUCAACAAAGUCAGGUUCUCAUGGGAACAUAACAGCAAAAUAGGUUGUCUAAAUCCAUGAGAAGAUUUUUAAAGAUUAUUGAGGAGUUAGAGUUGCAUGAUCUUCCUUUGCAGGCGACCCUUUCACUUGGUGUGGAGGAUUAAACAAUUAGUCUAUGUCAAGGUUGGGUCAAUUUUUCGUAUUAGAAGAACGGGAAGGUCAUUUUAGUGGGUUGGCACAAUGCCCUUUGUCAAGGCCAAUAUCAAAUCACUCUCUACUUCUUCCAGAUGAUGGAGGGAUUAGGGGAGGGAGUAUACCAUUCAGGAUUGGAAAUAUAAGGUUGGCAGUUAAGGGAUUCAAAGAAUCACAUAAGGGGUGGUGUGUGGGAUAUAAUUUCAGAGGUUCAAAUAGCUUGAUUUUGGCCUCUAAGUUUAAAACAUUAGAAUCAGACUUGAAGGCUUGGAGUAAAGAGGAUUUUGAGUAAUGCAUGUGUCAAGCCAAGAAGGAGAUGACUCUUAAUUAGGUAGACUUUUAGGAUUCUUAGUAAAGGGAAGUAACUCUUUCUUUUGAGAAAGCCAAAGCUAGAAGAGUAACAAGGGAAGAGUAUUGCAAUUGGGCUUCUUUGGAAGAAAACUCUUGGAGAUAGAAAUUGAGAGAGAUUAGUUAGAGGGAGACAAAAACACUAAAUUUUUUUAGAAAAUGGCUAAUGAGAAUAAUAGAAUGAAUUGUUUGGCCAAAAUCAAAAUUAAAUGGAGCUUUGCUACACAAGGAGCAAGAGAUAGAGGAAGGGAUGUGUGAAAAGAGAGAGAGAAAAAGGGAGAAUCCUUAAUUAUUGUUAUUGAAAAACUGUAAAGAAUACACAUUGGACUUGGGUAUAUAUAUACAUGCUAGUGGGACCCACAAUACAAUAAGGAAAGAAAAGGAAAAGGAAAAGUAAAUAACCUAAAUAACUAUACAUUAUCUAACACUCUCCCUCAAGCUGGAGCAUAUAUGUUAUAUGCACCAAGCUUGUUAUAAAUGUAUUUAAUUCUAGGACCUCUGAGAGAUUUAGUAAAAAUAUUUGCUAGUUGAUCAUUUGAAUUGACAAAACUAGUCGCCACACAUCCUGAUGCGAUCUUCUCUCUAAUGAAGUGACAGUCAACUUCAAUAUGUUUGGUCCUUUCAUGGAAGACUGAAUUGGAUGCAAUAUGCAAAGCGGCUUGAUUGUCACAGAUGAGCUUCAUCUGUUCAUCCUUUCCAAAUCUCAACUCCCGAAGAAGAUGUUUCAGCCAUAUGAGUUCACAUGUUGCCAGAGCUCGAUACUUAGCUUCAACACUAGAUCUGGCCACUACAUCUUGUUUCUUACUCUUCCAAGAUAUUAGGUUACCUCCAAUAAAAACACAAUACCCGGAAGUGGAACGUCUAUCUGUGGGUGAGUCAGCCCAAUCUGCAUCUGUGUAACCAACAACUUGGGUAUGACCUCUGUUCUCGUACAACACACCUUGACCUGGUGUGCUUUUGAUAUAUCGAAAAAUGCGGAUUACAGCAUCCCAAUGGCUAUCACAUGGUGACUGUAGGAAUUGACUAACAACACUUACAGGAAAAGAAAUGUCUGGACGAGUAAUGGUGAGGUAGUUCAGUUUACCUACAAGUCGCCGAUAUCUCCCAGGAUCUCCUAAAGGCUCCCCCUGUCCUGGUAUAAGUUUGACAUUUGGAUCUAUAGGAGUGUCUACCGGUUUACAGUCUAACAUACCGGUUUCUUCCAAGAUGUCUAAAGCAUACUUCCUUUGGGAAAGAACCACAUCGGAACUGGAUUGAGCUAUCUCAAUCCCUAAGAAAUACUUGAAUUUCCCCAAAUCUUUAGUCUGAAAGUGGGUGAAAAGGUGUUGCUUUAGGUUCUGAAUACCAUUCUGAUCACUGCCUGUAAUGACGAUGUCGUCCACAUAAACUACCAGAUAAAUACACUGCCCUGAAGAGUUAUGAUGAUAGAAAACGGAAUGGUUUGCUGUAUUGCGGAACAUGCCAAACUCCUGAACAAUAGAACUAAAACGACUAAACCAUGCUCGAGGAGAUUGUUUCAAGCCAUAUAGAGAACGGCAUAACCUGCACACUAAACCAGACUCCCCCUGAGCAACAAAACCAGGUGGUUGCUCCAUAUAAACUUCCUCAGCAAGAUCCCCAUGAAGGAAAGCAUUUUUAAUAUCUAACUGAUAAAGAGGCCAAGAACGCAUAGCAGCCAUGGAGAGCAAUAGACGAACAGAAGCUAUCUUGGCAACAGGAGAGAAAGUGUUACCAUAAUCAGAACCAUACACCUGAGUAUAGCCUUUAGCAACUAAGUGGGCCUUAAGGCGAUCAACCUGACCAUUAGGGCCAACCUUAACUGUGUAGACCCAACGACAACCAACUGUAGAUUUACCAGAGGGUAAAACAACAAGAUCCCAAGUGCCAUUGGAGUGUAAAGCAGCCAUUUCAUCUACCAUUGCCUGUCGCCAACCUGGAUGGGAAAGAGCCUUAGGGGUGAUUUUGGGAAGAGAAACAGAAGAUAUAGCAGAAACAAAUGCAGAAUAGGGUGAAGAUAAUCGAUGGUAACUUAAAAAAUUGUAAAUGGGAUGAGGAUUACGAGUAGAUUGAUUACCUUUCUGAAGAGCAAUAGGUAAGUCAGCAGAAGGAGGCAGAGCCGGGACAGGAGAAGCCGAAGGGAUAGGAGGUGAGUCAGCAGGUACCACAGCCAAAGAAGGAGGAACAGCGACACGAUGACGGCGAUGAUAAACCUGAAGUGGGCGAGAAGGCACUGCAUCAGGUGGGGAGAUAAUGGGAAGGGGUAAGACUUCAGAAACAGGAAGAGACUCAGAGGUGGAGAAAAACGGUGAGUCCUUAAAGAAAGUGACAUCAGCGGAGAGAAAGUAGCGAUGAGUCUCAGAGGAAUAACAACGAUAACCCUUUUGAAGUUUGAAAUAUCCCAAGAAGAUGCAUUUUGUGGCUCUGGCAGAAAGUUUGUCCUGUCCAGGAGUGAGAAUAUGAACAAAGCAAGUACAACCAAAAACACGAGGAGGAAGGAAAUAAAGUGAUUCGUCAGGGAAAAGAAGGGAAUAAGGAAUCUGAUCGUGUAAUACAGAUGAUGGCAUACGAUUAAUCAAAUAACAUGCUGUAAGAACAACGUCCCCCCAAAAACGAAAAGGAACAUGACUAUGGAGAAGGAGAGUAUGAGCUAUCUCAACAAGAUGUCGAUUCUUACGUUCAACUACCCCAUUUUGUUGAGGAGUAUAAGCACAAGAAGACUAAUGAAUAAUCCCAUGUUGGGACAUAAAUGAAGUAAAUUGUGUAGAAAAAUAUUCCCUGACAUUGUCACUGCGCAACACACGAAUAGAAAUAUUGAAUUGGGUUUGGAUUUCAGCAUAAAAUUUCUGAAAAAUAGAGAAUAACUCAGCUCGAUUUUUCAUUAAAAAUAACCAAGUACAUUGAGAAUAGUCAUCAAUGAAAGUGACAAAAUACUGAAAUCGUAAAGUAGACGCGGUCCGACAAGGACCCUAAACAUCAGUGUGGACAAGUUCAAAAGGAGACUUUGCCCGAUUAUUCAAACGCUUUAGGAACGAGACACGAGUAUGUUUCCCAAGCUGACAGGACUCACACGCAAGCGACGACAAAGAUGAAAAACUAGGGACCAUUUUCUGGAACUUGGAUAGACUAGGGUGGCCCAGGCGACUGCGGAUGAGGAGGGGAGCAUCAGUGGAAAUGCAAACUGCAGGUGAAGGCGAGGUGAGGUGAUAGAGGCCUUGAGACUCACGUCCUAUGCCAAUCGUCUUCCCCGUACUCUGGUCCUGCAAGGUCACAAAUUUAUCACAGAAAGUGAUAGAACAGUUAAGAGUGCGAGUUAUUUUGCUGAUGGAAAUAAGAUUAAAAGGACACUCAGGGGCAUAAAGGACAGAAUGGAGAAGUAGGGAAGGGAGAGGAUGAGUGAAACCAAAACCUUUAGCCAUAGUUUGGGAACCAUUAGCUAAAGUAACAGUAGGUAAGGCAGAGGUAGUAGUAAUAGAAGAGAAAAGAUCCUUAUUACCAGAUAUGUGAUCAGAAGCGCCAGAAUCUAGAAUCCAAGGUCCAAGAGAAGAUGUGUGGGUAAGACAAGUAGAAGCAUUACCAGUCUGGGCAAUAGAAACAACAGAAGCUGACUUGGUGGCCUGAUAGCGGAGAUAGUCGUCAUACUCACUGUCAGUGAGGAAAAUACCCUGAGAUGUGGAGGAACUGGGAGGCUGAGGCAACUGAGGAUCAGAUGACUGGGCCACGUGGGCAGUGCGGGGAGGUUGCCCAUGUGACUGAUAACACCGAUCACGAGUGUGGCCAAGCUUAUUGCAAUAGGUGCAAUGAGGACGUUGGCCUCUACCUCGGUUACCACUGCGUCCUCCUCGAGAGUUAGUUUGAGAAACUAACACAGAAGAAUCUGAAGUGUAAUCAGAUGGCAAAGUCUGAGUGGAGGAAAUACGGAGGAGGUGAGCAAACACAUCAUCUAAGGAUGGAACGGAGGAACUGCCAAGAAUCUGAUCGCGGACGGUCUCAAGAUCUGGACGGAGGCCAAUAAGCAUAAGAACCAUGAAGAACUUGUCAAUCUGUAUGCGUUGAUCCCCAACAUCAGUAGUAAGAGGCAUCAUGGUCAAGAAUUCCUCCUUAAGAGAGGCAAUCUGACCAAUAUAAGUAGAUAAAUCCAUGUCUUGUUGUCUGACAUUGACAAUAGAAGAAACCACCUUAUAAAGACGUUGGAUAUCAUUCGUGUAUAGCCCUUUCGUUUGAUUCCAAAAUUUAAAGCAUGUUUUGUAGGCCCGAAGAUGAUGCAGAAUCUUAGGAUCAAUUGAUUGCCAUAACACACUACAUAACUGUGCAUCCAUCUUCCUCCAUUGUACUUUGUCAACCUCAGGGAUAUCCGCCUCCUGCGUAACAAGGUGAUCCUCAUAACCUUGACCCAUAAACCAAAGCUCUAUAGAGACAGACCAGGACAAAUAAUUUUCACUGCCAACCAAUUUCUCAGAAGUAAUCAUAGGAGAUCCAGAUAUGACAUAGGAAAAAGGGGAACUUUUAGUAGCCAUAUCUACUUAUCUGGUGAAUGAAAUAUGUUUGGAUCGAAGAGAACCAUAAUACGGCUUAUCGUGGACUUCCUAAGACACUUGCAGGUCUCGGGGUGGAGAGGAAGUCACCGGAGGUCGCCGGAAAGGCGGUUUAGAGGGCCGGCAGAGACAAAAAAACCCAAAAAAUGCACUUCUAGGGCUCAGAUGACACAAGCGCAGAUGGAGGGUGGCUAGACGGCGUCAAGCGAGGCUGGAGGUGGAAGCACGUGGCCGGAAAAUGCCCCACGCGCCCUCACGCGCCGGCGCGUGAGAUUCAAGCCGCCAGAGAAGAGACGCGCGUGGCUGGGAUUCUUCCUCCGGUGCUUUGAGAAAAGUUGAAGAUCUCCUCCUUGCGCACUUGAUGGUAUGGUCGGUGUCAGAAAAGGACUUCGCCGGAAAGUCGCCGGAAAAUUCGUCGGCGGUGAGGGUUUUCCGACGGCGGUGAGGGUUGAUCGGAAGCUUUAGGAGAUGGAAAGGGUGACCGGAAUGAAACACGGUCACUGAAAGAUUUUUCAGAAUGGAUUCACGGAUAAACCGGAAAUAAUUAGGGUUUUUUCUCCCUAGACUCUGAUACCAUGUGAAGAGAGAGAGAAAAAAAGGGAGAAUCCCUAAUUAUUCUUAUUGAAAAACUGUAAAGAAUACACAUUGGACUUAGAUAUAUAUAUACAUGCUAGUGGGACCCACAAUACAGUAAGGAAAGAAAAGGAAAAGGAAAAGUAAAUAACCUAAACAACUAUACAUUAUCUAACAGGAUGGUUCAGGCUUUCUACAAUUUGUUGUCUAAUAUGGGAAGUGGAAACCUAGUGUCAUUGAAAUGUCUUUUAAAACCUUAAAAAUAGUCAAGUUGCUCAAGGAUUAGAGGUGUCUAUCAAUAAGGAGGAUGUGUUUAAGGCCUUGUCAGAUUUGAAUAGGGACAAGGCUCCAAGGUUGGAUCACUUUCCUAUGAUGUAUGCCAAUUCAAAUGGAGCUUUGUGAAAGACAACAUGAUGGGGCUAUUUAAGGAAUUCUAUGACCAAGGUAAGUUUGAAAAAGGGUUGAAUGUUAUGUUUAUGGUGUUACUUAAAAAAGAAAAAAAAUGGAUGUGAAUGGCCUGAAAGACUUUAGACCUAUUAGCCUAGUGGGUGGUUUAUACAAGCUCCUUGCUAAAAUGUUAGCUAAUAGGUUGAAGGGGGUUGUGAGAAAGCUUGUUUCCGAGUUCCAAAAUGUGUGUAGAGGGAAGGCAAAUUCUUGAUACAACACUUUAUAGCUAAUAAGGUAAUUGAUUAUAUGAUGAAGAGUGACUCUAGUGGUAUAAUUUUUAAGUUUGACAUUGAGAAAGCAUAUAACCAUGAUAGUUGGGUUUUUUUUUUAUUUAUGGUUAUCCAUAAAAAGAAAUAGGGUUUGGACCAAAAUGGACUAAAUGAAUUAAGUGGUGCAUCAUGACAACAAUGUUUUUUGUACUUGUUAGUGGCACUCCUUCAAGGUUUUUUCAAAACUAUAGAGGAUUGUGACUUUGAGACAAGGGAAUCCUCUUUUUCCCGACUUUUUUUGUUUUGGCAAUAGAGGUGUUCAAUAGUCUUUCAGAGAAGGCCGGGGAGGGUGAUUUUUUGUUAGGUUUUAGGGUGAUGGUGAAUCUAUCCUAUCUGUAGUCUAUCAACAACAUCCUAGUCUUUUGUGAGGCCACAUAGAGUCAAAUGAUACAUUUAAGUUAGGUACUAAUGUGUUGCUGAAAAUUAACCAAGAGAAAAGUAAAUUGAUACUAAUAGUGAUUGUGACUAAUAUGGAGGAUUUGGCUCUAGAGUUGGUAUGUAGAGUUAGGGAGCUUCCAACAACUUAUUUAGGGCUUCCUUUAGGAGCUCCAUUGUUCUCUUGGCACGUGCUUUUCUGAGCCUUACUGCGUCUCCAUUGGUGGUCAUUGUUGCUCACAUUUUCCCUAUUUUCAAAUCUCUUUUGGAGAUAUAUCUUAGAGGGAUUAGGUGGAUCCCGAUCAUGAUUUUAGUAGCCCUAAGUUUAGUUUAGAAGUAGUUUAGAAGUGGUUUUUUAAGUUUAGUUUAAUUUAGGUUGAGUUUAGUUUAAUUUAGUUUAGAAGUGUUUUCUGAAUUUAGUUUAGUUUGAAUUUAGUUUAGAAGUAGUUUAAAAGAGUUUUUUGAGUUUACUUUAGUUUGAGUUCAAUUUAGUUUAAAGGUGGCUUAGAAGAGCUCUUUUAGUUUAGUUUAGUGUUUUUUGAGUUUAAUUUAGUUUAGAAGUGGUUUAAAAGAACUUCUUGAGUUUAAUUUAGUUUAGUUUAGUAGUGUUCGAGUUUAGAAAUAGUUUAGUUUAGUUUAGAAAGUGGUUUAGAAGAGUUCUUUGAGUUUAGUUUAGUUUAGAAGUAGUUUAGAUUAGUUCCUUGAGUUUGGUUUUAGUUUAGAAAGUAGGUUAGAUUAGUUUAGUGAGUUUGGUUUAGCCUAGUGAGUCUUAGAAUAAGUUAGGGAGCUUUGGUUAAGGGCUUACAUGAGUCUAGUGAGUUUGGUUUAGAAUUAGAUUAAGUAUUAGUUUAAUUAGAGAAUUUUAGAUAGAAUUAGAUUAAGUGUGAGUGAAGGUUAGGGAGAGUUGUGUGUAGGUUAGUGGGUUGAGUGAAGGUUAGGGAGAGUAGCGUGUAGGUUAGUAGGAUGAGUGUAGGAUAGGGAGAGUUUGGAGAUUAAAUUAGGAAUUCUCUAGAAGGUUGGUGAAGUAGUGUAGGAUAGGGAGAGCUUAAAGAGCAAGUUAGGAAUUCUCUAGAAGGUGAGUGUAGUGGUGUAGGAUAGGGAAAGGUUGGAGAGCAAGUUAGGAAUUCUCUAGAAGGUGAGUGUAGUGGUGUAGGAUAGGGAAAGGUUGGAGAGCAAGUUAGGAAUUCUCUAAAAGGUAGGUAAAGUGGUGUAGGUUAGUAGUGGCUUGGAGGACAAGAUAAAAAAAGGAAAAAGAGGAAAAAAAGUGGUCUCUAGAGAGGGAGAGCCUUGAGAGAAGACGUAAGAAGCUUAAGAGAAUGUGAAGUCAUUUUGGUGAGGGAGAUCUUUGAGGGAAGAAAAGAGAGAAUAGAGAGAAGAGAAGAGGGGAGAGUAGAGAAGCUUCAUGGUUAUGGUGGAGUCACCCAUGAAUGUAUGAAGAUCAAGAGAAGUGAAGCCCCAUUUGUGAUCGAAGUGAAGCUCCAUUGGUGACUGAGGAGAUGAAUUUUCCAAGCACCAAUUCGGUGCUGCAUGUGCUGAUCUUUAAGGUACUAUUGCUGCAUUCCAAGGCACCACCUCAAUAUUAAAGUUGCUGAAAAUUGGCUCCACAAUUGAUGAAUUUGAACCUACCUAGGUAUGCAAAAAUAACACCAAGACAUAAUCACACUUCAAAGAUCACACCAAGGCAUAAUCACAAUUCUAAAAUGUCUAUUUUGGCUCCACAAAGGAAAAAUAACACCAUGUCUUUAAAAUGUCAAUUUCAAAGGAAAAAUAACACCAAGGCAUAAUCACACUUCUAACAUAUUUAAAAUCAAUUUAACAUUCAGAAUGUCCAAAACAGAGCAUGUGUACAAGGUACUUGAAGAUAAAAUUAUAUCUUAUGCUAGGAAAAUACAAAUAAAGUGAUAUAGCUGUCUAAAAUUAAAUUCAAAGGGUGUACUAUCAGGGAAAAAUUCAAUCAUGAAUCAAACAUGUCAUCUUCUAAUUUAAAUUCACAUAUCAAUCUCAAGAAUACAAAACAAAGCAUUGAAAUAAGCUAUUACUUCAAAAAUAAGAAUUUAAAACUUGAAAAUGAAUGUGUAGGGAAUUGCCACUUCCUAAUUUAAUUUGAAUGAAAUUUUCCAUGAUAAAAGAACUCCAUAAGAAGCCAUGUCCAAAUUUCAUUCCCAUAAAAAAUUACAAUUCAUUUUGAAAACAAAUUUGAAAUGCAUACCAAUUCAAAAAGGUAGCAUCGAUGUUUUUUGAAAACUCAUUUUGAGCCUAUGGAACUAAGAGGGCAAGAGGGCAUUAGAAAUGAGAAUGGCCAUUUUUGAAAACCUUAAAAUCAUUUUGAAAGUCUUGAAAACAAUUUUCACAAACACAACCAAACAAGGGAAUCAAAAUAAGUAAAGAAUACCUAUCCAAGCCAAAUAUGUGCAUUAGUGUGUGUGAAAUGUGAAGAUCAACAUGUAGCUGUAUCUAGCUUUAUUAGUAAUCUAAACAUGCAUCAAAGAUUAAUUCAAAGACCCUAAACAUGUUACUAAAUCACCAAGAAAUCAAUGAAAAAAAAAAUUCACAAUUAAGCAUAACACAAAAUUAGUGUAGGCAUGUGAAAGCGUUCUAAAUAAAAAGGCACCAAGUGAUAUAUCAAAGUGAAAAUUAAAAAGAAAAAAAAAAACAAAAUCACAAUUUCAAAAUAGACUUUUAAGUCAAUUAUCAUUAACAUAUCAAAUAACUUUCUUAGGUAACAUAAAAAAUGAUCUCAAUCAAUCAAAAUUAAAAACAUAGAAUCCACUAAACCAUAUAACAAUUCAAUAUGAUAACAAUCAAUCAAUUUAACAAAAAAAAAAUCAAUAAUCAAUAGUGGUCUUUUCAUCCCCCCAAAUCUAAAUCUAAACAUGCCAAAAAAAUUUCAAAACAAAAGAGAAAUUGAAGAAAUAGAAACAUGUAUAUAAGAAUCAAAACAAAGGAGAUUAAUGAGCAUUCCUUGAUGUCUUCAAAUUCACCAAUUGUAGAGCCAAUUUUCAACAAUUUUAAUACCGAGAUGGUGCCUUAGAAUUCAACAAUGAUACCUUAAAGACCAGCACAUGCAGCACCAAACUGGUGCUUGGAAAAUUCAGCUCCUCCGUCACAAAUGGAGCUUCACUUUAGUCACAAAUGGGGCUUCACUUCUCUUGAUCUUCAUUCAUCCAUGGGUGAAUCCACCAUAACCAUGAAACUUCUCUACUACCCUCUCUUCUCUUCCCUUCUUUCUCUCUUUUCUUCCCUCAAAGAUCUCCCUCACCAAAAUGACUUCACAUUCUCUCUAAGCUUCUUACAUCUUCUCUCAAGGCUCUCCCUCUCUGGAGACCACUGUUUUUCUCUUGCCCUCCAAGCCACUACUAACCUACACUUUACCCACCUUCUAGAAAAUUCCUAACCUGUUCUCCAAGCUCUCCCUAUCCUACACCACUUCACUCACCUUUUAGAGAAUUUCUAACUUGCUCUGUAAGCUCUCCCUAUCGUACACUACUUGACCCACCUUCUAGAGAAUUCAUAACUUGCUCUCCAAGUUCUCCCUAUCCUACACUCAUCCUACUAACCUACACACAACUCUUCCUAACCUUCACUCAACCUACUAACCUACACACAACUCUCCCUAACCUUCACUCACACUUAAUCCAAUUCUAACUAAAACUCUCUAAUUAAACUAACACUUACUCUAAUUCUAAACCAAACCCACUAGACUCAUCUAAGCUCUCUAACUUAUUCUAAGACUCACCAGGCUAAACCAAACUCACUAAACUAAUUUAACCUACUUUCUAAACUAAAACCAAACUCAAAGAACU